UUCAAAUGACACACAAUUUUUGGAGAGUUGCAUGACUAAUUGAAAAGUGUUUUGUCUUUUGUAUCUUCAAAUGUACAACUAUAAUGAACACACAUUUAUUGUUUACCAAAUGCAUGAGAUCCAUGUUUGUUUAAAUUAACUUUUGUUUAGUUGGGUAUUCAAAAAUAUCAAACUAAACAUGUUUUGAUGAUCUACAUUAUUAUUUUUUUAAAAAAAAUUUGCCUGGUUUUAAUCAUUGACGAUGCAAUAAUAAUGAACAUUGGUAGAUUUAGGGUGGAGAAUGGUAGGUCACUUGCCCCACCAUUUUUUUUGUUUUUUUUUUUUUUUUUUUUUUUUUUUUUUUUUUCCCCCCCCCCCCCCCCCCGGGGUUUAAUGAAAAAUGUAAUACAUUGUUAGUAGGGGAAAAUUGGGAUUGUGUAUUAAUAUUAUGGUUAUAUUAUUUGUAGGAUUUUGAAAUGGACAAAUUAUCUAAUUAUUCGAAUAAUUCUAAUGUUUUAAAUCGGUGAAUAGUGGUUAAUAUAUUUCAUUUUAUUUUAUGUUAAAUUUAAAAUCAUUCAAAAAAAUUAAUAGUUUUUUCCCCAAUUAUUAUUGUACUAUAUUUUGGGUAAUCAAACAAUGUUAUUUCAAUCUUGAUUUAUACUGAAAGUUCAAAUUAUAUUUGAUUGAUUUGUACAUCUUCUAAUAAAGUGCUUAGAUGGCUUACGUUAAAGAUUUAGCAUCCGUAUGGCAAAUUUAUAAAUAGUUUAUGAAGAGGAGAGUGCUAAAACAAUGUCACGAGUUGCCUUAGGCGUAAUAACAAGCACUUAAGCUCCUACAAGUAUACGGUUAAAAACCUUGCCUUUUCAAGUAUAUAAUUUCUAUGCCUUGUUAUUAAAUGCCUCAUUUGUUACAUUCUAUAACUCAUCAUCCGUUCAUCUACUGGAAUUCUAGCUAGCGUCCAUUGUUUUUUUUUGGUCUUUAAUGUCUCAAUCAAUCGAAUGUGAGAACAAGUCAUAUAAACAUAGAGUGGAAAAGAAAUUUAAUCCUUCUCGGAUUGUGGGUGCACGAAUCUUUGAAGAAUUCGUCUCGAUCAUGCACCUCAAAAAUGAAGCCAAGUUUGGUAAGACCAUUAUGCUUGAUUAUAUGUUUGUCCUCAAAGACAUAAUUUAUGUCUUAAUACUAUGUCUUAAGAUUUUGUAGUGUUUUCCCAAUACACGGCAAAGGCCACAUAAUAAAUUUAGACGUUGCUUUUCCUCAUAAAUACCACCUACUUACUCACAGCAGUUUAGUAAAAAUCUGAUCUGGAAUGGACAAUGUCGAUAAUUGCUAUAUUAUAUUUACAUUUAUAUCUUAAAAUUAUUCCCUGUGAGGAUCAUGACUAAAAAGAAACUAUGUUAUUUUUCUUUAUAAACUUGUUUGAUUUGGGAAUUUGGUUGUACCCCCAAUUCAAAAUGUGUGUUCACCACUAAUAAUGAACACCCAUCUGUUGUACACCAAAGUAUGUAGCCCACGUAAAUUUUGUUUGGACAGGUAAUCAAAUUUCAAAUGACAUGCGUUUUUAUGAGUGUUACAGGACUAUUUAAAAAGAUUGGUUAGUUUCCAUAAUUAAUUGUACACAUAAAAAGAACACACACUUUUAUCCACCAAAUGUGCAGGAUCCACAUUUUUAUAUGUUGGCUUUUGUUCAUAUGGUGUUCAAAAAUUCUGAAUUUAGCCCUUGUUUGAGUCUCAUUCUUUUGAUAAGAAUGAAUUUUGAAUAGUGUAUUGAUGGAAAAUGUGUAGUUAAAAAAUAAGGAAAUAUUUUAGAUUUACGUGUAAUAUUAUUUUAUUGAAGAAUGGGUGAUUAAAAUGAUGCUAGUAUACUGUUAAAAAUGUAUUUUUUUCAAAGAAUGGGAAUCAAAUAGGGGCUUAAACAUUUUUACAAUUGUUAUGUGACUAUUUAAAAGGGUUUGGCUGAGUUUUCCUCAUAGAUAGUGCAACGAUAAAGGCCAAUUGAUCUAGCCUUCUACCCACUACAACUCCAACAUCACUUGAUUAAAAUGACAACUAUGCCCUUCAUAUUAAUACUCGCCAUAUCCCACAAAGCUCAUUGUAUCCGUCAUCUUUAUAUCUACAAAUUUCUACCAUAAAUUCAAAUUGUUUUUCCAAGGCUCACGUACUCUCAAUCUUAUUAGCUAAACUAAAAUAUUUCAAUUAGUAAAAUGGCGAAAAUACAGAUGAAGUCCUAGAAAAUCUGUGGACAGUUGUAUAUACAUGAUUGUCGGCAUCAAAUGUGAUGAUGGUGCCUACGUCACCGCCCAAUCAUGAUCUUUUGAGUGCCCUAUUACAUUAUUUUACCAGUCUCGAAUCUCAUCACAAUCGGGCUUUCAAGUCUAUGAACAUGGAGGAAAUUCUCGAUAAUGUUUACUAUGAUUCGGAGUGUUUUGCUUUGGAUAUAAUGGGAUUGCUGGUCUUCGUGUUGGUGCUGGAGGAGAAUUGAAGAUGAGAAGUAAUUGGGAGGAUUAGAAAAAAAAUCAAAAACAAAAUCAAUCUACCUAAAUAUGGAGAUAACAUGCUUCAAUUUUGCAGCUUUAGCAAGAGGGAAAUAUUUAUUAGAAACUUUCUAGACUAGAUCAUUCCAGAGGUACAGUUUUGAGGAUGAGUCUCACCUUUCUCUUUGAUUCUGGUCUUAUUUUCUUUAAAUUUAAGUUAGAAAAGAGACAAGGUGAGAAGACCAUCCCUGGGUCACUACAUCAUGCAUGUGUUGUGCAUUUGUUGCCCAAGAGGAAAAAAGUUAUUGAGAGUGCGUGCAUGUGUGUGUGUAUCAACUGGUUUAGUUCAUUUCUCAGCUCUAGACGGAGAAUCGUAUACGAACCAAAUCUCUCCGAUCUUAUAAUUUUUUACUUAAAUUUUCCAAUUAACUAAUUAAGUGAUCAAAGGUAAGAGCGCAAGGCUACAACUCUCAAGGGCUAACCCAACUUGAGCCCAAAAUUUUUUUCUACAAAUUUCAAUCCAAGCUCAUCUUUGCUUUACUUCACAAUUCACCUAACAAUCACUCAUUCUGUCAUCUAGAUUUAACAGUUGCUGUAGUUUUCAACCACUUCCUAAUCCCAAGCCACGACUUCAUCUUUCUUCGCUCCUCAAGAUUCACACAGGAACACCUCAUCAAAUCCUAUAUUUUCCCAUAUUAAAUCUUGUUAAUUGCACAAUUUUUGUUUAUUUACAUUUGUUAAUAGUGCUUUUUCAACUAUUUCUUAUUGAGCUUCUUAAUUUGAGAAGUAAAGCAAUGGAUGAUUAAUUUAAAUGGGUGAUAAGUACUUGCAAUACUUAAAAAUAUUUUAUUUCUAUAACUUGUAAUUUAUAUUUCAUUUUUUUUACAUAUAUUUGAAGGCCCGAAGGAAAGGAAUUUAGCGUUAUUAUUUACUUUUUGGUAAUUUGUAUGCUUUGAUGAAUGGAUUUUAUUAGACAACUUUUUAUUUAUAUAUUUUAAAAUUGGACUAUGUCAUUUCGUAAGAGUUUAGAUUGAACAUAUCUUUGGUUAGAUUAAUGUAAUGUUAUAAUAAAUAUUAAAAAAAUUAAUUAUAGUACAAAACCGAACAGGACCGAAUUGGUUCGGUUCCAUAAUUAUAUUUUUCAACGGUUCAACUUUUGAAAUACAUAAAAUUAUGGUCCAGGCCUAUUAAAAAUGAUCCGAAGUAAUCUUGAUACUUUGUCACGUUUCUUUCCUUUCCCAUAUGAGUUAAUUACAUUCAAUGUUCCGGUGAUCGAAAAAAUAGAUUUCCUUUCGAAUUGAAAUCUGAAUUUCUAUUUGUUUGGUAAUCUUUGUUUCCAACAAAUCUCAUAUCAUCAUUAUAAAUGACUACAUGAUACAGUAUUCCUGUGUUCUUGUUAUGCGCUUUAACGUCUAUGUUUUACCUUGUGUAAUGCACAAUGACAUGCACUACCUACACAUAUGUUGGACCAUCAAGGAAAGGAUGAUUAAAAAAUCAUUGGUAGAUUUGGUUCUUUUCUUUUUUUUUUUUUUUUUUUUUUUUUUUUUUUUUUUUUUUUUUUUUUUGCGAAGUUAUGGAAACAUCUGUUUAUUUCUUCUCGUAUUGUUGGUUUCUACAACAGUGUUUUAUUUUUUUCACUUGGAGUAAUAUGGUUAAUUCAUGAUUUCUAGGAAAAAUUUUCCUAGGCUUCAGGUAGAUAUGUUAAUAAAUAUGGAAGCAAACUUAUCACUUUCCGGUGAUAUAAUCAAGUCAAUUACAAUGUCAGGAUAAUCCUUCUAUAGGUUAAUCUGUGAGACAUGUAAAUCUAAUGAUGCAAGAAUUUGGUUGGUUUUUGUCCAAAUGCUAUUUGUUGCUACUCCGUAAAUAGUACUCUUUUUGGGAUAUGUAUUGCUUUUCUGAUAUUUAUUUCUUUGUUUUUAUUGCAAAAAAAGAUUAAGUAAAGAUGAAGAGGAGAAAUUCUACGCAUAAGUGUGGUUGUGCAAUGGAAUUAUACUUAAAGUUAGACGAUCAACGGAAGGCUGACUAAAAAAUCACUGUUAUAUUAGAUUCUUUGCUUUAGUUUAUGCCAUUCAAUUAACUUCUUUUCCAAAUUUGAAGAUACAUCUGUUUGUUUGCUCCUUUCGUUGUUUCACCAUUGGCCUUUAGUUAAAGAAACACACUUGGUUUCUCUCCUAUUGCCGAUCCCUGUGGUCCAAUUUAACAAUGUGGUCAUAUAAAGUACUCUUCAUAUUUAGUCACAUUUCUUCCUUUAGCAUAUGAGAAAAUUACGUUCAAUGUUUUGGCGAUAAAAAUGGAUUUGCUUUUGAUUUGAUGUUUGGAUUCCAUGGGUGUAUUAUUUCAUCAGUAAUGUGUUUCAAUUAAAUCUGUCAUAUCAUCAUUAUACAUGAUUUACAUGAUACAAUAUCCUCUAGUUUCUGUUGUGCUUCACAACCUAUGCUUUACUUCCCAAUGCAUAAGACCCAUGAUCUUAUAAAUUGACUUCUGUUCACCCACUAUUCAAAAAUGCAAAAUAAAACACAGUUUCAUGAGUGUACAUUAUUAUUUAAAAAGACCUUGGUUUGUUUUCAUAACUGCACUGGUAAUUAUAAUGAACGCACAAUGCAUGGGACUGGCUUAACUUUUGUAGAGAUAGUUGUUCAAAAAUUCUAAUGAGAUUCAUUUUUAUGAGCGUGACAUGUCUAAUUAUUAAACAAUUGGUUAGUUUUCGUUGAUGAUAGUGCAAUGAUAUGAGCAUGCAUUUAUUGUCCCCUAAACGUUAGGUCCAAAUUUUAUAAAUUGAUUUUUAUUUAUAUGGUGGUCAAAAUUUUUGAAUUUGCCCAUUUUUAUUAUUUUAUAAAUUUUAUUUUAUUUCCUUUUACAUUUAUCUGUUAUUAUUCAUGUUUGAUGAAUGAGAUUUUCAUGUUGUAAUUGAUUUUGGAGUAAUGUUUGAAAUUACUGGAUUUAAUGUUUAUGUUUGAUUUUCUCUCCUUUUUCCUUUAAACCAUUUCACUCAAAUUCGUGCUCCAAUCGAAAAUAUGUACUACAAAUUUAAGAGUGCAAAGGAUUAUGCUUCGGUUAUGAUUCAUGGGCACUUUAUUUCCAUUGCACACUUGAAAGAAAAAAUACUUGAAUCAAAGCACUUGGAUAAGGGUAAUGAUUUUAAUCUCCCUGUCACUAAUGCCCACAAUAAUGAAGGUUGGUUUGAUUAUAUAAUUUUUUUUAAGACUUUUAAAUCUGCAAAACAAAUUCUGGGCUUGUUAAUCGUUACGGUUCCUCUAAGUGUCAUUACCGCCCUCUAUUUUAUUGUAUUUCAAAUGAGAACAGAAAAAGUAUGAACUGCGUUAUGAUCAUUGAACUUUCUUCUAUGUAAUUUUGAAUGCCAACAGUUUUUCUGACAACUCUUGUAUGCUAUUAUUGAAAGCCAACUAAUAAAGCUAGUCAUUUAACUUACGGUUCUUAGAUUUGUGUCCUCUAUAUAUUUUGGUUGGGCACAAUGUAAAGAUCAUAGGCUUUACUGAUGUUUAUGGUUUUCUCAUUAGUUCUCCUUCGUGAUUUUUUAUUCUUAGAGUAUAUUGCAUAGUCAACAAGAAAUGAAGAUUGUCAGUAAUCAAGUACAUAAUUGGAAGGGAGAUCAAUGGUUUGGAGGCAUAUAUUGAGAACGAUGUAUUUGAUAAUAUUUGUAAUGGUGUAAUUAUACGAUGCUUUUAAAGUAUGAAAACACGUAGGCCACAAUUAUGGUAGUGCAUUGACUUAUUUUCAUUAAUGUUAUGUAUUUUUAAAAAAUUGCAUUAAAUUUUUUAUCCCACAAUAGAAACGUCUAGCCAGCCAUAGCGUUCAUGUGUUGUGCAUUCCCAGUUCAAGAUGAAAAGUUAUUGAGAGAGUGUUUGCUUUAAAAUUCGAUGUUCUGGAAAAAUUUCGAAUGAGACACAAUUUUGGAGUGUUACAUACAUGACUGUUUUGUCUUUUGUAUCUUCGAAUGUACAACUAUAAUGAGUAUGCAAUUAUUGUUUACUCAAUGCAUAGGAUCAACGUUCUUAUAAAUUAACUAUUGUUUAGUUGGGUAAUCAAAGAUACCAAACUAACAUGUUUUGAUGAUCCAUAUUAUUAUUUAAAAGAAGAAAUAUGAUGUUUGUUCAGACUUAAAGACAUGGAAGAAAAAAAAAGGACAGAUUUGGCAGCAGAUGAUUGAGUGUUUGUUAUUUUUAUUUUUCAAACAGUCCAAACAUAUCAUGUGUUGACAUGUGUGCACCCUAUUUUUAUCCUAUUUGUGUAGCAUAAUUCUAAAAAGAAUCUGGUUGGUUUUAAGGGCCGUGCUACUUAGACAAUCCCCUGUCCAAAUAAGGGGCAACGUGGCCAAAAAAAUUGUUUAUAUGGUGGUCAAAAAUUUUGAAUUUACCCAUUUAUACUGUUUCAUAAAUUUGAUUUUAUCUCCUUUUACAUUUUUAUGUUAUUAUUCAUGUUUGAUGUAUGAGAUUUUGAUGUUGUAAUUGAUUUUGGAGUAACGUUUGAAAUUAUUGGAUUUAAUGUUUAUGUUUGACACACUCCUUCCUUUAAAUCAUUUCACUCAAAUUUGUGCUCCAAAUGGAAAUAUGUAAAUUUAAGUGAGGUUUUUCCUCUUGGACAAUCCCCCGUACAAAUAGGGGGCGACGUGGUGUCUCCCAUUGGCCAGGGUGUCUAUGAACACCCAUCUAUUGUACACAAAAGUACAAGACCCACAUAACUUUAGUUUGGACACAUAAUCAAAUUUUAAAUGAGAUGUGUUUUUAUGAGUGUUACAUGUCUACUUAAAAAAGAUUGAGCAGUUUCCAUCAUUAACGGUACACACACAAUGAAAAUGCGCUUUUAUCCACUAAAUGCAUAGGAUCCACAUUUUAUUUGUUGAUUUUUCUUCAUAUGGUGUUCAAAAAUUCAGAAUUUAAACAUUUUUAUAAGUUUUACGUGACUAUUUAGAAGGGUUUGGCUGGUUUUCCUCAUUGAUGGUGCAACUAUAAAGGUCUUGAUCUUGCCUUCUUCCCGCCACCUGGGCCGGCCCUGGGAAUGUAGAGGCCCUAGGCAUUUAAUUAUUAUGGGGCCCCUCGACACAAAAUUUAUUUUACAAGUCUAACAAUAUGUAAAUCUCUAAAUAAUUAACACUUUUAUAUUAGUAAACAGAAUGGAAAAAGAAAUGUUUCUUACACUUAAAAACCUAAAAAUAUUCCAAAAAAUAUGAAACAUAAUUAGAGCACGUUUAUCCAAAUUAAAUUCGAAGAAAAAAAGAAGAAAUAAGAUGAUAAGAAAAUGAAGUAAAUAAUUUAUAAGAUGUACUUUCACUUUAUCUUCAUGUAAAUUAAAGCUUAAAUCUCCGGUCUGUACAUUUUUCACCUUUAGACUCGGUGCUAAAUAACUCAAAAAUCUUUUUUGCAGCUUCAUUACUUUUACUUAAUAUGGUGUCAUAAGUGCUUAAAGAUCAGGAUUAUAUCCAUACACAGACACGUAUCUAUAGAGGAGGAAGAUUUCCAAGAAUUAAAAUCACAAAAUGCGUGUAUAUAAGCUUUUCAAAUCCUUGUCCAAACUCCCAAUCACUUGUAAAUGCUUUCUGUGUGAAUCAGUCACAGUGCCAAUUUUUUUUCUUUUCUUUUUAAGAGAUGAGGCCCCCACAAUAUGAGGCCCAAGGCAGCGGCCUCACUUGCCUUGGGCUAGGGCCGGCACCAGUCGCCACAACUCAAACACCACUUGAUUAAAAUGACAACUAUCCCCUUUAUAUUAAUACUCGUCAUACUCCCCCCCAAAAAAGCUCUUUGUAUUCAUUGUCUUUAUAUCUACAAAUUUCUAUCAUAAAUUCAAACUAUUUUUCCAAGGCUCACGUACUUUCAAUCUUACUAUCUAAACUAAAUUAUUUCAAUUUCUAAAACCGAGAAAAUACAGAUCAAGUCUUAGAAAAUCUGUGGACAGUUGUAUAUACAAAGUUGUCAACAUCAAAUGUGAUGAUGGUGUGUACAUCACGGCCCAAUCACGAUCUUCCUAGUACCCUAUUACAUUAUUUUACCAAUCUUCAAUCUCAUCUCAGGCUUUCAAGUGUAUGAGCAUGGAGGAAAUUCUCAAGAAUAUUUACUAUGAUUCAGAGGGUUUUGCUCUGGAUAUAAUGGGGUUGUUGGUCUUUGAGUUGGCGCUAGAGGUGAAUUGAAGAUGAUGAGUAAUUGGAAGGACUAUAAAAAAAAAAAAAAAAAAAAAAAAAAAAAAAAAAAAAAAAAAAAAAAAAAAAAAAAAAAAAAAAAAAAAAAAAAAAAAAAAAAAAAAAAAAAAAAAAAAAAAAAAAAAUUNNNNNNNNNNNNNNNNNNNNNNNNNNNNNNNNNNNNNNNNNNNNNNNNNNNNNNNNNNNNNNNNNNNNNNNNNNNNNNNNNNNNNNNNNNNNNNNNNNNNNNNNNNNNNNNNNNNNNNNNNNNNNNNNNNNNNNNNNNNNNNNNNNNNNNNNNNNNNNNNNNNNNNNNNNNNNNNNNNNNNNNNNNNNNNNNNNNNNNNNNNNNNNNNNNNNNNNNNNNNNNNNNNNNNNNNNNNNNNNNNNNNNNNNNNNNNNNNNNNAAAAAAAAAAAAAAAAACAUAAUCAAUCAACCUAAGUAUGGAGAUAACGUGCUCCAAUUUUGCAACUUUAGCAAGAGGUAAGUAUUUAUUAGAGACUUUCUAGACUAGAUCAUUCCAGUGGUGCAGUUUGGAGGAUGAGUCCAGCCACUCUCUCUGAUUCUAAUCUGAUUCUCUUUAAACUGCAAAAAAGUUAGAAAAGAGACAAAGUGAGAAGACAAUCCUGGGGUCAUUACAGCGUGCAUGUGUUUUGCAUUCGUUGUUCAAGAGGAAAAAAAGUUAUUGAAAGAAAUGGCUCUUGUUUUCUCUCUCACGGGUUUGAUCCCACUAUGAUCUCAUUUUCGAUUAUUAAAAAUUAUAGCUGGAUAAACUCCCGAACUGAACCGAGAAGUUUGAUUCGAUUCUUCUUAGGUUAAAUACCCGAAUUAGUACUAAAAUCAAGAACUGACUUGUUUAUUUUAGUUUUCAGUUUUAGACUAAUAACCGAAAGUCCCUGAUUUUUGCCAUCUUUUUUUUUUAAUUUAAACAAGCUAAAUUAUUUUAUUUUUUUCGAAUAAAAUUUGUCAACUAAGUGAUUAACUGAAAGUGCGCAAGGCUCCAACUCUCAAGUGCUAAUCGAACGUAAGCCCAAAAUAUUUUUUUCUACAAAUUUCAAUCUUAGCUCAAAUUCACUUUCACCAUUCACAUAACACUCAAUCAUUUUGUCAUUUAGAUUUAGGCAUUGCCCUUAUUUUCAGCCGCUCUCCAAUCACAAGCCUCGACUUCAUCUUUGCUUCUCAAGAUUCACAUGAGACCAUAUAAUCAAAUCCUAUAUUUUCCCAUAUUAAAUCUUUUUAGUUGGACAAAUUUUUGUUUAUUUAUGUUUUUUAAUUGUGCUUUUUCAAUUAUUUCUUGUAGAGUUCCUUGGCGUGACAAGUCAAGCAUUGGAUGAUUAUUUAAAUGGUUAAUUAUCACUAGUAAUAAUUAAAAUAUUUUAUUUCUAUAACUCUUAAUUUAUAUUUCAAUUUCUAUAUAGAUUUGAAGAAAAGGAAUCAAUGAAAUGGAAUUAUCAAUAUUUUAGCGUUACUUUUUGGUAAUUUGUAUGCAUUGGUGAAUGGAUCUUAGUAGACAACUUGUUAUUUAUAUAUUUUAAAAUUGGACUAUGUUAUUUUGUAAAAGUUUAGAUUGAACAUAUCAUUUGUUGGAUUAAUGUAAUGUUAUUGUAAAUAUUUAAAAAAAAUUUAAUUAUUGUACAAAACCAUAUGGGACCAACCCGGUUCGGUUCCUUCAUUACAUUUGGACUAAUCGGCUCUACUUACCAAAUACCUACAAGUUCUAGUCCAGGCCUGUUAAAAAUGAUAUGAAGUAAUCUUGAUACUUUGUCACAUUUCUUUCCUUUCCCAUAUGAGAAAAUUACAUCCAAUGUUCCGAUGAUUAAGAAAAUAGAUGUCCUUUCGAAUUGAAAUUUGAAUUUCUAUUUCUUUGGUAAUCUUUGUUUCCAACAAAUCUCAUAUCAUCAUUAUACAUGAUACAGUAUUCCUUUGUUACUAAGAUGUGCUUUAUCAUCUAUAUGUGUUUUACCUAUAAUAUACAAUGACUUGCACUACUUACACAUAUAUUGGACAAUUAGGGAAAGAACGAUAAAAAAAAUUAUUGUUAGAUUUGGUUCUUUGCUUCAGUUUAUGCCAUUCAAGUAGCUUAUUUUACAAAGUUUAUGGAUACAUCGUGUUAGGUUUUAAUUUGUAUUGGUUAUUCGUUAGACAAAAGGAUUAUUAUAAAAGAGGGGUAAAAUUAAUUGGUUAGUUGUUUAGUUGGAUAGGGAGUCUUGGAAAUCAGUUAUUGAACAAGGAAAAUUGAUAUUGUACUUUGAUCAGCAUGCUGCUUAAGCCUUGCUCAAGCGGGUGCAUUACAAAGUCAAUCGAAAGUUGGUCGCUCGACUGUAGCUCACCUUUCGCUUGACUGUCGCUCACCUUUCGCUUGACUGUCGCUCACCUUUCGCUCGAGCGACAAAUCGUAGCUCGCUAACCAUUUGCUUUUUGCUCAAGCAAUUGCAUUAUCUGGGAAAAACCUAGUUCGUGUGUUUAAUCUGUUCUCUAAUUCUAAACAACCCCAAACUCUCCAAACUAUAAAUACCAAACCACUAUUUCGUCCAGAGGUUGGUUGAUCAUUGUUUUCUACCUUCAUAACUCCUUUGGAGAUCAAACAAUAAUUCUACAUCUUGAGAUCAAUCAACCACAAAUUGGGUCCAAAACAACCACUUCCUAAAUAUAAUGAGGAUGGUACUUUCUCAAUAACUUUAAGAGGUUUAUGAAGAUUGAGGGUGGUUGGAUCAAAAUUAUAUGAAGAGUAUGAGAACAAGGUAGUUUUGGUGAUCCACGAGAGAGCAAAAGACAAUUCUAUAAUACCGGGAGCUGGUGUGAGUAAAGCAUGUUUCAAUUGGUUUUGGAGAUUGCAGGAAUUAGAUCAGUGAGUCUAGUGUAUUUUUUAGACUGAAUAAUAUUGUAAGUUCUUAUUGGCUAUAAUGGAAGUCACUGGCUUAAUCCCAAAAUUUUUAAUCCCAUGAAGAAUUUUUUCCAUCAACAAAUCUUGUGUCAUUUACUGCUUUAUUACUAUUGUGCCAAUUCAAAAUAGGAUAAAAUCGACUUGAUUGACUAAACAUUUAGAAAAAUUAAAAGGUAAAUCAUUGCUUUUAAUUGAUAAUUUUAAUUCCACAUUAUUUACCUAUUCACCCCACUUUAGGUGAUUUUAGAGUCGAACUAGUAACUUUCAAUUGGUAUGAGAGCCUCAAUUCGAUUCUUAACACUAACUUAAUCCAGAUGAGUCAGUCGAUUUUCGUGCUUCCAUAUUUUGACAAAAGCAAUUACACCUAUUGGAAGGUUGGAAUGAGUUGAUUUCUAAAGUCUUUGGUUGGAUCGUCCCUUCUACUACUGAUGCAGGUGUAGUCACCCUUAUAGAGGUUGCCAGUUGGUCUAAAACUGAGUUAGAUAAGUGUAACUAGAAUAAUAAAGAGCCUCAUGCCCUAUUUAUGGCUAUGUCCGUCGAAGAGUUUAGGAGAGUAUCAAUAUGUGAGAACGCAAAAGAGGUUUGGGAUAUCCUAGAGACCACACAUGAGGGAACCAAAAUUGUUAAGAAUUCCAAACUACAGAUGCUGACCACUAGGUUUGAAGAAAUUAGAUUGAAGGAUGGUGAAUCAUUCGAUGAUUUUUAUGCAUACUUGAAUGACAUAGUAAAUUCUAGCUUCAAUCUAGGUGAGAGAGUUUAGGAAACGAAAAUUAUGAGAAAAGUCCUUAGAUCCUUACCCGAGAUAAUUAGGCCUAAAAUCACGGCUAUCGAGUAGAGAAAGGAUUUAGAUACAGUUAAGAUUGAAGAAUUAGUUGGAUCUCAACAAACUUAUGAUUUCAUUGUAUCUCAACCUAAGAAGAACAAGUCUAUAGCCUUGAACAUUGUUAGAGAAGAAAAGUAUGACUCUACUUGCACAAAGACAAUUAAUGAUGAGGAGAUAGCUUAUUUCGUUAAAAAAUUUGAAAAAUGUUUCAAAUUAAUAAAAUGCCUCAAGAGAGACAUAGAGGUGCUCUAGUGAGUAUAGAAAGAGAUUGAGAUGUCAUAAGUGUCGAUGUUGUGGUCACCACAAGACUAAGUGCCUUAAUAGUAAGAGAAAUAAGGGUAAAGCUAUGAAUGCAACCCUCAUUGAUGAUGAGUCUACUUUGGAUAAACAAAGUGAGAGGUUCACUCAUAAUGAGAGUAGGGAAUUUAUAGCCUUUUCUCUCCUAUAAAAAAUUAUCUUUCUUUUCUGUGUUUUGGCUCUACUAUUUUUACUCACAAUUAGCCACGUCACUAUCUUAUCUCCUACACUCAUUUUUCUUUUUCUUGAUUUACUUUUCUUCCUCACCUCUCAAUUUCAAUUAAUCCUCGUAGACCUAUUGUGGUGUUAAGGGUACAAAGGUAACGGCUCUCCCAUAUUUUGCAAAUUUGUACAUAUUCUUGAAUCCAUCAUGACCUGAAGAAUUCCUAACUCAUCUAUGCAAUCUACUAACAGAUUCCUUGACUUUUACAACUCUUUUAAUAAUAAUCUUUUGUCUUAAAAAUAGCUAAUACAAUUAAAACCUAACAUAAAGUAUUCUUGAUAGUUAGUUAUAUUUCUACCUUUCCCAUCCGAGAAAAUUACAUUCAAUGUUUUGGCGAUAAAAAUGGAUUUGCUUUUGAUUUGGUGUCUGGAUUCUGUGAGUGUAUUAUUUCAUCAGUAAUGUGUUUCCAUUAAAUCUCUCAUAUCAUCAUUAUACAUGAUCUACAUGAUACAAGGUCCUUUAGUUUCUAUUGUGUUUCACAAUCUAUGUUUUACUUGCUAUCAUGUAUAGCGAUAGGCACUACUUAUUAUUUGGCAUUCUAGGAAAGGAUGAUUUGUGAAUUUCUGGACUUGAUCAUUCCAAUGAUGCAGCUUGGUGGAUAUGAGUCCCGCAAUUCUGUGGGAUUCCAAAUAAUAAUAAUAAUAAUAAUAAUAAUAAUAAUAAUAAUAAUAAUAAUAAUAAUAAUAAUAAUAAUAAUAAUAAUAAUUUAAAAAAUAAAAUAUGUGAGAGAAGAGACAAAAAGAGUAGCACUUCCAUGGGUCGUGCGAACUUCAUGCAUAUGUUGUGUGUUCGUUGUUCCAUGGGAAAAAAAGUUAUUAAGUACUAAAAAUUCAAUGUGUUAUAAAUUUCGUACGAGACAAAAUUUUAUAAUAGUUACACGACUAUUUAAAAGGAUUUGAUCGGUUUCUGUCCAUGGAAACUAUAAUGAAUUUAUAGAAAUGAGUCUCGUUCAAAAACUUCUGAUGAGACAUAUUUAUAGGAGUGUUACGUGCUAUUUAAACACAAAUUGGUCGGUUUCCGUCAUUGAUAGUGAAAAUUAUAAUGAACAUACAUUUAUUGUCCACCCAAUGCAUAUGACCCAUGAUCUUAUAAAUUGACUUUUAUUCAGCCCAAUAUUCAAAAAUGUCAAAUAAAACACGUUUUGAUGAGUUUACAUUAUUUUUUAAAAAGAACUUGGUUUGUUUUCAUAAUUGCACUGGUAAUUAUAAUGAACGCACAUUUAUUUUACGCCCAAUGCAUGGGAUUGAAAUAACUUCUGUCGAGAUAAUAGUCCAAAAUUUCUAAUGAGAUACAUUUUUAUGAGUGUUACAUGUCAAGUUAAUAACCGAUUGGUCGGAUUUCAUUGAUGAUAGUGCAAUGAUAUGAGUAUGCAUUUAUUGUCAACUAAACGGUAGAUUUUAUAAAUUAAAUUUUUUUUUUUCAUACGGUGGUCAACAUUUUUGAAUUUAGACAUCUUUAAAAUUUUAUAAGUUUGAUUUUCUCUUCUUUUACUUUCUACGUUAUUAUAUAUGCAUUUAUUGUCAUAUAUAGUGCAAUGAUAUGAGUAUGCAUUUAUUGUCCACUAAACGGUAGAUUUUAUAAAUUAUUUUUUUUUCAUACGGUGGUCAACAUUUUUUAAUUUAGACAUCUUUAAAAUUUUAUAAGUUUGAUUUUCUCUUCUUUUACUUUCUAUGUUAUUAUAUAUGAUUGAGGCAUGAGAUUUUGACGUUGCAAUUGGUUUUGGAGAAAUGCUUGAAAUUAUAGGUUUUAAUGUUUAUGUUAGAUUUUCUCUCUUUUUUCCUCUAAACCUUUUCAGCCAGAUCUGUGCUCCAAUUGGAAAUAUGUACUAUAAAUUUAAAAGUACAAAGGAUUACAAUUCAGUUAUGAUUGAUGGCCACACUUUAUUUCCGUUGGACACUUGAAAGAAAAAUAUUUGACUCAAAGCAUUUGGGCAAGGGUACUGAUUUUGACGUCCUUAUCACUAACACCCAGACCAGUGAAGGAUGGUUUGAUUCUAUAAGAAUUAUUUUUAGACUUUUAAAUCCUUAAAACACUUUCUGGGAGUGAUGAUAGUUACGGUUCCUCUGAUUGUCAUUCCCGCCCUCAGUUUUAUUAUAUUUUAAAUUAUAAUAGUAAAAAAAUGGGCCAUUUAGGUUAUGAUCAUUGAACUUUCUUCUAUUUAGUUUUGAAUGCAAACGGUUUCUAUACCACCUCUUGUAUGCUACUAUUGAAAGCCAACUAAUUGGUGAUUAUAUAUUGUGAAUAAAGCUAGUCAUUUAACUUACCGGACUUUGAUUUGUGUCCUUUACAGUGGAUAGGCACAAGGUAAGGAGUGUAGGCUUUAUUGAUGUUUAUGGUUUUGCAUCACUUCUCCUAUCAGAUUUUUUAUCCGUAGACUAUAUCACAUAGUCAAAAAGAAAUGAAGAUUGUCAAGAAUCGAUUGCAAAAUCAGAUGGGAGACAAAUGGUGUGGUGGCAUAUAUUAAGAACAAUGUAUUUGACAAUAUUUAUAAUGAUAUAAUUAUAUGGCAUUUUUAAAGUAUGAAAAUGCAUAGGUCACAAUUUUAGUAGUCUAUCAACUUAUUUUCGUUAAUAUUACAUAUAUUUUUUAAAAAGUUUCAUCUAACAGAAGAGAAAAUGUCUGGCUCUUCCAUCGUGUUCAUGUGCAGUGCAUUCUUAAUUCAAGAUAAUUAAUAUAUACAUAUAUGUAUAUGUAUACAUAUAUGUAUGUGUAUAUGUAUAUGUAUAUGUAUAUACAUAUAUGUAUAUGUAUAUGUAUAUGUAUAUAUAUACAUAUAUAUAUAUGUAUAUAUAUAUUGUUAUUGAGGGAGUGGCUGCAUUAAAUAAUCAAUGUUCUGCAAAAAUUUCAAAUAAGACACUAUUUUUGGAGUGUUACAUGACUACUCGAAAAGUGUUUUCUUUUGUAUCUUCGAAUGUACAACUAUAAUGAACAUGCAUUUUUUGUUUAUCCAGUGCAUGGGAUCCACAUUCUUUUAAAUUAACUUUUGUUUAGUCGGUAUUCAAAAAUAUCAACUAAAACAUGUUUUGAUGAUCUACAUUAUUAUUUAAAAAGAACUUGGUUAGUUUUCAUCAUUGAUAGUGCAAUAAUAAUGAGCACCCAUAUGUUGUAUACCAGAGUACGGGACCACGUAACUUUUGUUUGGCAUCUUAGAAUGGGAUAUCACUCUAAUCAAAGAAUGAAUUUGCUACAUAGCAUAGACCCUAGUAUUCCGAGUUUUGAUGCCAAAAAAUUUUGUGAUGCUUGCCAUAUGGGAAAACAGACCAGAUUACCGUUUUCCUCUAGGCACCAUUUUGUAGAAGUUGUUUUUGAUUUAAUAUACCUUGAUAUUUGGGGCCCUUUUUCUGUUGCGUCAUUGAAUGGAGCACACUAUUUUCUCACAAUAGUUGAUGAUCACAACCGACAACAUGGUUUAUAUUAUAACAAACAAAAGUCAAACUAGAAACAUCAUUGAAAGUUUCUUUAACCUCAUUGAAAAUCAGUUCAAAUGUAAAAUCAAGGCUAUAAGAUCUGAGCAGGGAAUGGAGUUUAACAUGACAUAAUUUUUUUCAAAAAGGGGAUUGCUCCACUAACGAAGUUGAGUGUAUACACCACAACAAAACUUAGCAGUCGAAAGAAAACACUUGCACUUCUUGAACGUAGCAAGUGCUUUGCGUUUUCAAGCUAGCCUACCUUUAAAAUUUUGGGGAGAGUACAUCCUAACUACUACUUAUCUCAUAAAUAGGGCACCCUCACCAAAUUUGAAAAAUUAAAGUCCUUACUAGCUAUUUUUUGGUAAAACACCUGACUAUUUUCAUUUAAGAACAUUAGGAUGUUUGUGCUACGCAUCAAAUCUUGAUCUCCACAAAAAUAAAUUUGAUCGUAGAGCCCAAAAUGUGUGUUCAUUGGAUAUCCAAAUGGAAUGAAAGGUUAUAAAGUUUUUGACUUGAAAACAAGAGAAAGCAAAACUAGUCGAGAUGUGAUCUUUUAUAAAGACAGAUUUCCUUUUUAGCAAAACCACAACUUGUCUUCUCUGUUGCCUACACCAGAAAUCACUACUUUAGAUGAUGUUCGAGUUAUACUAAAUCCCAUCUCAGAGAGUUUUGAUCAUCCUUCACAAAUGAGCGACAAUUCCAACUGUUUGCAAGAAACAACACUUGAAAUUGAUAACCAUAAUCAUGAGGAAUCUCCUACUUCAAAAGCUAUCGAAUCAUCUCCUCUCCCAUCCUUUGAACCACCUUCUAUCCAAGAACCCCUAGAUCCACUAGAAUCAGAAACAGGCCCGAAUACCUUAAAGAUUUUCAUUGCAGGUUGGCAAAUUUAGGGCACUCUUCCUUUUGAUAUAAUAGCUCCUAGAGGUAACAAUUAUUCUCUUACUUCAAUUCUUAAUUAUUCUAAACUCUCACCUAUGCACUUUGAAAUAAACUCUAUCCAUCACCCUUGAGUCAGAGCCUCACACCUUUGAAGAAGCCAAGAAAUUCUUACAUUGGAGGAGUGCCAAGAAUGCUGAAAUUCAAGCUCUUCAAGCAAAUGAAACAUGGAAACUGACAAACUUGCCUCUAGGGAAGAAACCACUCGGUUGCAAAUGGGUCUAUAAGACCAAAUAUAAGGUAGAUGGCAGUAUUGAAUGACACAAGGCCAGAUUGGUGGUGAGGGGCUACACUUAACCAGAAGCAGAAGAUUAUUUUGAAACCUUCUCCCCUAUUGCCAAGAUGCCAACAGUGAGAUGCCUUCUGUCUAUUGCUGCAUGUAAAAACUGGUCUCUCCAUCAUCUUGAUGUUAAUAAUGCUUGCUUUUAUGGAGAUUUGGUUGAGGAAGUAUUUAUGAGUGUGCCCCCAAGAUGUGGAAGUGAGUGGGAGCAACAAGUAUGUAGGCUUAAGAGGUCUCUUUAUGGCUUAAAGCAAGCCUAUCGUCAAUGGAAUAAAAAACUCAUAUCAGUUAUCAUCAAGAUUGGUUUUAUCCAAUCUAAAGCAGAUUAUUCACUCUUUAUCAAGAAAACUGAUUCAUCUUUUAUCUUAAUGCUUGUAUUUGUUGAUGAUAUGGUGAUUGCAGGAGACAAUGAAGAAGAAAUACAGAAACUAAAACAAUAUUUGACUGACCAUUUUAAGCUAAAGGUCCUUGGAAAGUUGAAAUAUUUCCUAGGCAUAGAAGUUGCCUGAUCGAAGGAAAGGAUUUUCAUUUGCCAAAGGAAAUAUGCCCUGGAAAUUCUACAAGACUGUGGACUUCUUGGUGCUAAAUCUAUCCAAUUUCCCAUGGAACAAAAUUUGAAACUGAAUGGUAAAGAAGAAUAAGCCAUGGCUGAUCCUAGAUAGUAUAGAAGACUAAUCGGAAGGCUAUUUUAUCUAACAAUAACUAAGCCUCAUAUAUCAUACUCGAUACAAGUCCUAAGUCAAUAUCUUAGGCAGUCGAAAGAUGUACAUUGGAAGGCAGCAUUAAGGGUAGUAAGAUAUGUUGCAGAAGCUCUCUUGAAAGAUCUUCAAACCGGUGAUUUUUGAGCUCAGUCCAAUGCACCUUUCUCAACCAACAACCAAUCCAACCGGCUCCAAACCACAACCAAUUGAUUCACCUUGGUUGCUAUCCAAUCUUACCCACGUAUGACAAGAAAGGAUGAUGAUUUAUGGCCGCAAAGGCUAAGAGAAGACACCACAAAGGUAUACUAUGAAAGAACCACCAAUUGCACACGUUAUACAAGCGUUCUGGACACCUUUUUUCUCACACAAAAGGGGACAGCCGGGAUUCACUUUUUCUUCUCUCAAAAUCGCAUAAAACAUCAUUAGAAAGUGGCUAAGGUUAUAGCAAAAUAUAUACUCUAGGGUUAGGCUUUAAGUUGGGCCAUUAAAGGGGUAAACGGGCCAAGAUUCAACCCAUCCAUAAGGAAAUACAAUUGGGCCGGGUGUAACUCAUGGACUUUGUUGUUGCACUUAUUUCAUUCAUCGGCCUAUGCCUAUGAAAUAAUAUUAACCCACGUUAACAUCAUAACUCGGGAUUUAUUGAGUAUCAAAAACCCAACAAAUCUCCACCUUGAUUCCCAAUAAAUCUGCAAGCAAUUAAAACACACAGUUAACACUUGCAUAAUCAAGGUAGCCAAUAAAAUUGAAUCACAGACCUUACCUCAUGUUUCCAACUUGAAACACAUACCAUACCUGCUCCAUGUACUCACUAGGGCUAAGGUCAAAAAAGCCAAAGUAGAAGCAAAUAUUUAAUAGUAAACAAUCAAGAGCAAAUAUAUGUGCGAUGACGAUAUACUAUAGGAUAACAUACACAGAUCUUUUCAGAAGCAUGUUCAUAUAGAACCAAAGAUUAACACCAAGUCAAUCAAACUAUAGUCAACCACAUAUGCAACACAUGCAUAAAUGACCAUAAGAAAAGAUCUCACCACACUUAUCCUAUCCCAUUCCGUGUUGCUCACACCUCGAGAACACAUAUCUCCUCUCAUUGCCCACCAAGCUCACUAGACAGAUCACUUAACUCAUGUCUAACUGGCAAGUCUCAAUAGAUCCUAAGUCCACGGGAUAAUCCUCUAUUUCUACAUCACUUCUCCCAACCUACGUAGAUAAUCGGUUUCCACCUAACAGAAGUGAUAAAAGUGCCUCUCUCACACUCCACCUGAUCAGGGUCUCUUUCCGGAUAAAGGAUUCUAGACAUUUGAUCACAUCUCCACUCAUAAUCCAAAUGUCACACUCUACAUCCCUAGUACAAACCAGCAUGUACCCCUAGGCAUCUAUACUCCACCUUACCAAAAGACACACAACGCACAACUAAUGCAUCACAAACUCACUACAGCAAAACAACACCUUUCGACGACCACAAAGGUUACCCCAAUCACCAAAGCUCCAAAAAACCCACAAAGAAAAUGGCAAAGGUGGCACUCACAAAGAAAAAUCGAAGAAAGAGUCGGUUACUUCACAAUACUAACAAAUGAGGCUCACAAAGAUAAAAAAGGUAACCCUAACAUGGCUGCCUCACAUAAUUUCACCAACCACACAGGCUCACAAAGAUAAAGGAGAGAAACGACUGCCCAACUUUCUUCUCACCACCACACUCUCACACCACUCACAGAGCAAAUAGAGUACACCACAAAACUUAACCCACUAUGCAUGUAAACAUAUUACACAAAGUAAUAAAUCACUCUAAUUCAUGCAAUUACACACAUCAAACAUAUUGAAAGUGUAACAUCAACAUUGCAACAGAAUUAAGUGAUCAUAUACAUGCAAAAAGGAUUAUACACAGAUGCGAUGCAGUAACCAAGUUUAUUCUCUCAAUAAAUAUCAUUAGGAUCAUUACUCGACCCUAAAGUCACAUUCACCUUGUCCCUAUUCUCAUCUUUCCUUUUAUUAUCAUCCUAGGACAAUCUCUUUCAACUAUACCCAAAUUUUACCACAGUUAAAACAUAUUAUAUUUUUCGCAUUUGUCUUAGACCUAUACAUGCCAACAAUACCAAAUGAUGACCACAAGCAAAGUACUGACACAUAAUUCACACAGAAUAGUCAAGUAAACUUUCCUAAGGUCACAUCCAAUUCUAUCGGUGAAAAAAAAAUUGGUAACAAAUUCACAGAUAAAUUAAGACAACUAAUUAACAUGCAAUUUCUAGGUCUAACAGCAGGCAAUGGUUACCCCUUUACGGUAACCCCAAACCUAACGUCACAUCACACAAUGACUUCUAAUGCGCAAAAUUAAUAAUUAACCUAUACAUUAAUUUUAACUGCAAUAAUAAAAGGAAAAGAAUACGAUACCGAGCGGAGCACUUCUGAAGGUUCGUAAAUAUUGAGUUAUACGAAUUCACCAUUUUAGGACUAUCACUAUUCGUCCUAAAGUUUCCGAAAACUACAGCAACCAAAAAAUCACGAUCGAGUCCCGAACGCCCAAAAAACAACGCUGUCCAGAUUCUACUGCGUACCCUGAAACAGAAAACUUUCAACACGAAAAAUGUCAGAAAUAAUAUGAGGAACAAAAUGCCUGAAGGGACCUCCUCGAAAUUCCCUCUCAUGCGCCCUCACGUGGGGAUCCUUCCCUCUAUGCAUGGGCCUCACAUGUCGUCACACGCGCUAUCGUAGACCGACAUGUGCCACCUUACAGGGUUUGCCUCCACUUGCACGUCACGCCAGUGGUCUCCGUUUCCCAAACUCCUUCUGGAUUGAUCAGAAAAUGCGAAAAAUAGAGACUGAUUUUGACAAUUUUUGGACAGCUUCUUCGAUCUGAUUUCUACUACAAUUUCUGGACGUUUUUGGUAUGUUUCAUGAGCUAAAACCACCACCUUGAAGCUCUAAUACCAAUUUUUGUGGAAGCUCUCUUGGAAGAUUUUCAAAUCGAUGAUUUUUGUGCUCAGUCCAACGCACUUUUCUCAACCAACAGUCAAUCCAAUCGACUCCAAACCACAACCAAUUGAUUCACCUUGGUUGCCACGCAAUCUUACCCACAUAGGACAAGAAAGGAUGAUGAUUUAUGGUUACAAAGGCUAAGAGAAGACACCACAAAGGUAUACUAUGAAAUAAUCACCAAUUGCACACAUUAUACAAGCGUUCUGGACACUUCUGGACACCUUUUUUCCUAGACAAAAGGGGGCAGCCGGGAUUCUCUUUUUCUUCUCUCAAAAUCACACAAAACAUCAUUAGAAAGUGGCUAGGGUUAUAGCCAAAUAUAUACUCUAGGGUUAGGCUUUAAGUUGGGCCAUUAAAGGGAUAAACAGGCCAAGAUUCAAGCCAUCCAUAAGGAAUUACAAUUGGGCCAGGUGUAGCUCAUGGACUUGGUUGUUGGACUUAUUUCAUUCAUCGGCCUAUGCCUAUGAAAUAAAAUCAACCCACGUUAAUUUCAUAGCCUGGGAUUUAUUGGGUAUCAAAAACCCAACAAGAUAUUUGAAGACAUCCCCAUCACAAGGGUUGAUUUAUCCAGCAAAAUGUAAGCUACAGCUGACUACCUUUUGCGAUGCAAAUUGGGGCAGUUAUCCGGAAACUAGAAGGUCCAUUGCCGGGUUUUGUAUUUUCUUUGGAGAUGGUUUAAUAUCGUGGAGGUUAAAGAAGCAAAUGACUGUGUCUAGGUCCUCUGUUGAGGUAGAAUAUCGAUCAAUGGCUACAACAACUUGCGAGGUCGUGUGGUUUAAAAGCUUGUUGAAUGAUUUUGGCAUAUCUGUUGAAAAACCGAUACAAUUAUUCUGUGAUAAUCAAGCAGCUGUUCAUAUUGCUUCAAAUCCAGUUUGCCAUGAGGGAACAAAAUACAUAGAAAUUGAUUGUCACAUUGUGAAGGAGAAAAUACAAAUCGGUUUGAUAAAGACGUUUCACAUCUCAACAAACUUGCAAGUUGUAGACGUAAUGACAAAGACAAUUGGUUCAAAGAAGUUCCAAUAUCUCUUAGGCAAGAUGGGGAUUUAUUCAAUUAUAUCUCCAUCUUGAGGGGGAGUAAUGAGAUAGAUAUUUGAAUUAAAUAUGGCAGAAAACAUAGGUUAUUGGAACAAGAAAAAUUGCCUCCAAGUUUUGUAAUUAAAAAUUGCCUAGAAGUUUUUUAAUUAUCUGUUGACCUUUUACAAAGGAGGAAAAAGCUCUACAAGUGAAGAAAUAGAGUGGCUAUUUUGCCAAAAAGGGAAUGGAUUGGAAUGAAAGAAAGUAGCUGUGUUAUUAGUCCUAUAGUUGUUAUGUUUAGUCUGUAUUCAUCUUUGAUUUUCGAAAUCUGAUUUUAAUAGAUAUGCAUAGCUCUCUCCUUGUAUAUUUAAAGUGGAGAACGCAAGGAAAUAAAGGAAAUAAAACUUAAUCUUUACUGGUUCAUUGUUGGCAACCAAUACUUCUCUCUUCUUUUUUGUUACUUACAUCAUGCAUGUGUUGUGGGUUUGUUGUUCAAGACUGCGAUAGUAUAUGUAUUAAAAAAUAAUAUUUUGCAAAAAUUUUGAACGAAACACAAUUUUUGGAGACAAUUCAGAAAAUGUUUUGUCAUUUCUCUCUUCAACUACACAACUAUAAUGAACGCGCAUUUAUUGUUAACUUAAUGCAUGGGACCCAGUUCUUAUAAAUUAACUUUUGUUCAGCCAGAAAUUCAAAAAUAUCAUAUAAAACACUUUUUGAUGAUUGUACAUUACUAUUUAAAAAGACAUUUUUUUUGGUUUCCCUCAUAGAGUGCAAUUAUUUUGAACAUGCAUUUAUUGUGCACCCAAUGUAUGGGAUCUACGUAUCUUUUGUUUAGACAGGUAAUCAAAUUUCAGAUGAGAUGCAUUUUUUUGAGUGUAACGUCAAUACUUAAAACUAUUGAUCAGUUUUCAUCAUCUAUAACGAACACGCAUUUUUAUCCACGAAAUGUGGAGGAUCAACAUUUUAUAUGUUGCCUUUGAACAUUUCAAAUUUAGACAUUUUUACAAGUGAUGAAUGACUAUUUAAAAAGUAUUUUGCAGCGUUUUCAUAAAUGUGCAACUAUAAUGACCAAUUUGCAUCGCACCAUACCCAUCACACCUCCACCAACAGUUGAUUAUAUUGAUAAGUAUGCCUUUUAUCUACUCCAACAAACAGCUUUUAGUGCCCUCUCUCUGCCUUUUUCACUUUCUCUCUAUGUACUAAUCUUCUUAUAACUGCAGGUUCUUAUCAUAAAUUCAAAUUGUUUUUACGAUGUGGAUGCACUCUCAAUCUUACUAUCUGAGCUAAAAUUUUCAAUUUACAGAAUGAAGAAAAUAUGGUUGAAGACUUUGAAAUUUGGUGGAAAGUUGUAUAUACAUUAUUGUCAUCAUCAAAGUUGACGAUGGUGUCUACAUCACAGCGCAAUUGCGAUCUGCCUAGUUCUCAAUUUCAUUCUAUUACCAAUCUCCACUCUCAUCAUAGUCGGGGUUUUUCGUCUAUCAGCAUGCAGGAAAUUCUCAAGAAUAUUUACUUUGAAUCAGAGUGUUUUACUUUCGAUACUAACGGGGUUGCUGGUUUUCGUGUUGCUAUCGGAGGAGAAUCGAAGAUGAGGAUUAAUAGGGUAGACUACAAGAAAAAUCAAAAACCAAAUCAAUCUGCCUAAAUAUAGAGAUAACAAGCUUCAACUUUGCAACUUUAGCAAGAAGGAAGUUUUUAUUAGAAACUUUCUAGACUAGAUCAUUUCAAUGAUGCUGUCUAGAGGACGAGUCUAGCCAUUCUCUUUCUCUCUCUCUCGAUUUUUUUUGGGCUGGUUUUCAUUAAAUAUUAAAAAAGUUAGAAAAGAGACAAAAACAGAACCCCAUCCAUGGUUCAGGCAUACAUCGUGCAUGUAUUGUGCGUUCAUUGUUCAAGAAGAAAAAAGUUACUGACACUAUAUGCAUGAAAAUAUUAAAGUUAUUUAGAGAAAUGGUCCUUGUUUUCCCUCCUACAGUUCUGUGCUCGUGAUCCUGUUGGGAACCUACUUAUCAUGCACAGUGAAAAUAAAAACGAAUUUCAAUUUUCACCAGGACUCUUCUUUGUGUUUAGAUCGGAAUUGUGAUAGAUGUUGUACCUUUUUCAAGAUCUGCAAAAUCCUUUCCUAUUCCUUCAUUCCAACAAUCUUGAUUCGUCCUCACAGCUGUCCAAUCAUGCAGCCUCUAACGGUAAUCCACACAGAGAACAAGAUUGCAGGAUUAUGAUUUUUUUCUUCUUGUGCUAGCAAGAAUGAAUUCUCUACAAAUUGAAAACCCUAACUGCUUAUUUAUAUAAGCCCAAACGAGCUUGGCCUGACUCGGUACAAUAUUUAAUUAACCCAUUUAAUUGAAUUUGAUCCGUGAAUUAAUUAAUUAAUUAAUUCGGGCCUAUAAAUAAGUAAUCCAAUUAAUUAAUUUAUCCAAUACUUGUUAAAUUAAUUAAUCGACAAAUCACAAUCUUUCAGUUCUUCUUUUGUGUAUGACUUAUCAGGUUCUCAAUCACGAUAUCUAACGACGUGAAAUAUCAUUUUGAUGUAAUCAAAAUUGAUAAAUUAAAAUACUAUUUUAAUUUAUCACCAAUUUACACUCGCUGUCGCAGAUUGACAUUUAGCAAUGUGUCAAGGCAAUACAUGUGACCGAAAAUGUCACGUAGUAUGACAAAACUUAACUCGUUUGUUUACCGUGAAACUAUAAUCCGAUCAAUUAUGAGAUAUGAAAGUGUGUUAAUCUUGAUUAUCGAUCAUAUCUUUCACUCCACUAUUAUGUCAAUAUAAGUCGAAAUCUCCUUUUCGACUUCUAAGUACAUCUUGGUCAAGGAUUUCGUUAUCGGCUUAAUUGAAUGAAAAGCAUAUCAUAAUCUCUUACUAGCUAAGAGUGACAAAUCAUCUAUGGUCAUUCACAACCUUCAUACGAUUCUUGAUAUACCCGAGCAAUGUCGUAAUAGUGGCCCUUGGUAGAACAACAUCUAACACCGUGAAAGCAUGACUGUUCUCAUAUAAUGCACUAUGACGACCUCAAGUUAAAGGAAAAAUUCCACUCCCGAAUGUUAGAGAUUAACCACUGACACUCAGAUAGUUAUCCAUGUGGAAUCUCUCAACGGGUCUCCAAUGUUUUGUUCUAUAACAAAACAUCCACGGUUCAUUCAAGUGUCACUACACUUUAGCUUGUGAGAUUAACUACUUACUUCACAAGUAAGGAAUGUCACACGUGAUGGUUUUUCCGUAAUAACAAUAUUCGCAUCUCAUCAUUACUUACGACCACGGAUGAUUUAAGAUUCAAUCAUAUGUAAUUUGAAUAUCACAAUCACAAAUCCUUGAAAUUAAUUACUAAGAUUUGAAUCUACGGACUCCAUUAUUUAAUUUAAUUGAAUAUUAAUUAAUUAAAUAAUAGAUCUUCUAUAAAUCGCAUUAAUUAUAUAUUAAAAGUGUUUAUGUCCAAGGUCAAUUAGACUUAGGGCAUAAUACUUACAAAUCCCAUUUUACAUUGUUAAAAAUGAUUCGAAGUACUCUUGAUACUUUCUCACAUUUCUUUCCUUUCCCAUAUGAGAAAAUUUCAUUCAAUGUUCUGGAAAAAAAAAUUAUUGAAGAUGGAACAGUUCUGAAACCACCUUGUUGGACCAGAAGGCGACGUAAAAUUUGAGAUUUAAUGGUGUAAUAUGAAAUAUAUAAGAUCACAACCAAUAGAACAAGAUUAAAGUAAAGAAAUAAAAGAAGAACUAUGUAGAGGAAUCAAUAUUUUAUUAAUUGACAAUAGCAAUAUUGGCUUCACAAAUGUAGACAAAUAGUCAAGUAUUUAUAAGGAAAACUACAUCCCUAUAAGUAGAAUUGUAGAUGAAAUGAAAUGCCAAAAGUUUUCUUAUUUGAUCUCAUCAAGUCCACAAAUUUCAAUUCUGAAUAGGCUUUCACAUAGAACUUUAGCUAGAAUUUGUCAAUUAAACUUGAAUAAGAUUUCUCAAUAGUAUUCCAAUUAAAAUUCAUCCUGACGUGCACUUCAAUUCGAACUCCACAAUUAUUUCAACUAGGAAUUCGAGUCACACCCAAAUUCUAACAGCGAUUUCCUUUUGAAUUGAAAUCUGAAUUUCUAUGGGUGUAUUAUUUCUUUGAUAAUCUCUGUUUCCAUCAAAUUUCAUGUCAUUAUUGUACAUGAUUUUCGAUAAUCUCUGUUUCCAAUAAAUCUCAUAUCAUCGUUGUACAUGGUUUACAUGAUACAGUAUUCCCGUGUUUCUGUAAUGUGCUUCACCGUCUAUGCUAAACCUUAUAUAUUGUGCAAUGACAAACACUACUUACAAAGAUUUAUUACCAACAAGGAACUGGUGAUCAAAAAAUCAUUGUUAGAUUUGGUUCUUUGCUUUACAUGAUUUACAUGAUACAGUAUUCCCGUGUUUUUAUUUAUUUAUUUAUUUGUUAACUUCCUGUAUUACGUGGUUCAUGCAACUACCUUCUUUUAUAUCUUGAUGUUUAGUAAUAUGGUUUAUUUAUGAUUUCUAGGUAGAAUUUUACGAGGCUUCAGGUAGAUAUGUUAAUAAAAAUGGAAGCUAACUUGUCACUUUCCUGUGAAUCUAUAUUUAUUUUUAACGUUUAUAGCGUGCAAAAUUCUAAUCAACCUAUAUUAUGCCUGAAGGAGAUAUAGACGAGAUUUUUCAAGAAAUAGCCGAUGGACAAAUAUUCUGGGUGCUCUUAAUGUACAGAAUUAAAUAGGCAUAGAGAAAAAGGGAACCCGCAUGGCAGGGGACAAAAUGAACUGAUGAUUCUAGACUAGAUCAUUCAAGUGACGCUUCUUGGAGGAUAUGAGUCCUGCCAUUCUGUUUGAUUCUUUUCUGGUUUUCAAAAAAUCGCAAAAAAGUUAGUAAAGAGACAAUAAAUUUGAAGCAUGCAUGGGUUGUGCAUAUGUCGUGCAUGAAGGGCGGACCUACAUGAGAUCAUGUGAGGUCAAGUGAUCCCAUAAAAUUUUUUUAACUAUCCCUUUUUUUUUUUUUUUUUUUUUUUUUCCCCCCAAAUUUUUGUAGUUGCCCUAACUCUAUCUUUCCUUACAAGUUUUGCCUCACUACUCAUGAUUACUCUCUUUUACUUAACUUUAGAAUACAUAACUCAAAUUCAAUCUCCAAUUUCAAUCUCUAUUCUUCAAUCCAAAUAAGCCCUUCUUCUCCAAUAAUCAAUCUCUAUUCUUUAAUCUUGUAUGGAAUUUCACAAUUUUAAUUUGUAGGUUUGAUGUACAGGUUUUAUGUUUGAUUUUCUCUCAUUUUAUUUUCUAUAUUAUUAUUCAUGAUUGAGGGUCUAGGAUUUUGAUGUUGCAAUUGAUUUUGGAGGAAUGUUUGAAAUAAUAGGUUUUAAUGUUUAUGUUUGAUUUUUUUCUCCUUUUUCCUUUAAACCUUUUCACCCAAAUCGGUGCUCCAAUGUACUAUAUGUUUAAAAGUGCAAAGGAUUACGAUUCAGUUAUGAUUGAUGGGCACUUUAUUUCUGUUGGACUCUUGAAAGAAAAAAUAUUUGAAUCAAAAGAUUUGGGCAAAGUUACGGAUUUUUGAGCUCUUUGUCACUAAUGUCCAAACUAAUGAAAGUUGGUUUGAUUCUAUAAGAAUUUUUUUAGACUUUUAAUCCUUAAAACAAAAUUCUGGGGGUGUUAAUUGUUACGUUUCCAUCAAGUAUCAUUACUGGCCUCGCUUUUAUUGUAUUUUAAAUUAUAAUAGUAAAACUAUGAACCAUUUAGGUUAUGAUCAUUGAACUUCCUUCUAUAUAUGUAGUUUGAAUACAAACGGUUUCUCUAACACCUCUUCUAUGCUAUUAUUGAAAGCCAACUAAUUGGUGAUUAUAUAUUGUGAAUAAAGCUAGUCAUUUAACUUAUGGUUCUUAGGUUUGUGCCCUCUAGUGUGGCUAGUCUCAAGGUAUAGAGUAUAGGCUUUGUUGAUGUGUAUGGUUUUGUCAUUAGUUCUCCUACGUGAUUUUAUAUUCUUAGACUAUAUUACAUAGUCAAAAAGAAAUGAAGAUUAUUAAAAAUCGAUUAUGUGAUCGGAUGAGAGAUCAAUGGUUAAGUGAUAGUUUGGUAGCAUAUAUUGAGAACGAUAUAUUUGACAAUAUUUAUAUUGAUAUAAUUAUACCACUUUCUAAAGUAUGAAAAUUCACUGGCUACAAUUUUAGUAGCGUAUUGACUUAAUUUCAUUAACGCUAUAAUGUUUAAAAAAUAAAGCAUUUUAAUUUUUGAUCCCACAAUAGAAAAUGUCUAGAUGUGCCAUUGCGUGCAUGUGUUGUGCAUUCCUAAGUCAAGAUGAAAAAGUUAUUGGGAGAAUACGUGCAUUAAAAUCAAUGUUUUGCAAAAUUUUCGAACAAGACAAUUUUUGGAGUGUAACAUGACUACUUGAAAAGUGUCUUAUCUUUUGUGUCUUCGGAUGCACAAAUGAACACGGAUUUAUUAUUUACCCAAUGCAUGGGAUCUACGUUCUUUUAAAUUAACUUUCGUUUAGUUGGGCAUUCAAAAAUACCAAAUAAAAUAUGUUUUAGUGAUGUACAUUAUUAUUUAAAAAGAAUUUUGUUAAUUUUCAUCAUUGACCCUGCAAUAAGACACCAAAGUAUGGGACCCACGUAACUUUUGUUUAGACAGGUAAUCAAAUUUCAAAUGAGAUGCGUUUCUAUGGGUGUUACAUAAAUAUUUAAAAAAGAUUCGUCAGUUUCCAUCAUUGAUAGUAAACAUACAAUGAACACACAUUGUUAUCCACUAAAUCCGUGGGAUCCACAUUUUUAUCCAUUGACUUUUGUUCAUACGGUGUACAAAUAUUCUGAAUUUAAACAUUUUUACAAUUGUUACAUGACUAUUUAAAAGGGUUCGGCCGAGGUUUCACUAGAGGCAAUACAACUACUAUAAGGGCCAAUUGAUCUUGCCUUCUACCCACCAUAAAUCCAACACCACUUGAUUAAAAUAACAACUAUGCCCUUCAUAUUAAUACUCGUCAUAUCCCGCAAAGUUCUUUUUAUUUAGUCCAUCAAACAGCUUUUAGGGCUCUCUCUAUCUCUCUAUGCUAAAAUAUUUCAAUUUGUAAAACCAAGUAAAUACAAUUGAAGUCCUAGAGAGUUUGUGGACAGUUUUAUAUACAUAGUUGUCGUCAUCAAAUGUGAUGUUGGCUUUCAAGUCUAUGAGCAUGGAGGAAAUUCUCAAAAAUAUUUACUUAGAUUCGGAGUGUUUUGCUUUGGAUAUAAUGGAGUUGCUGAUUUUAGUGUUGGUGCUAGAGGAGAAUUGAAAAUGAGGAGUAAUUGGAGGACUACAAGAAAAAUCAAAAACUAAAUCAAUCUACCUAAAUAUGGAGAUAACAUGCUUCAAUUUCGCAACUUUGGGAAGAGGGAAGUAUUUAUUAGAGAUUUUCUUGACUAGAUCAUUUUAGUGAUGCUAUUUGGAGGAUGAAUCCAGCCACUCUCUUUGAUUUGGGUCUGAUUUUCUCUGAAUUGCUAAAAGAUUAGAAAAGAGACAAAAUGAGAUGCCCAUCCAUGGGUCAUUACAUCGUGCAUGUUUUGUGCAUUCGUUGUUCAAGAAAAAAAUUUAUUGAGAGUGUAUAUAUAUAUAUAUAUAUAUCUCAUUUUGCAUUAUUAAAAAUUAAGGAUGGACAAAACUCCCGAUCUGAACCAAUUAGCUUGGUUCGAUUUUUCUUAGGUUAAAUGCCUGAAUGGGUACUAGAACUGAAAACUGACGAAUUUGAUUUGGUUCACAAUCUUUGACCAAGAAUUGAAUAACCAAAUAAGAACCGAAUGUUUCUAAUUUUUUUAUAUUGAAUAAGCUUAAUUGUUUUAAUUAUUUUCUAAAUAAAUUUGUCUAUUAACUAAUCAAGUGAUUAAUUGUAGGAAAAUUUUCAUAAGAGAUUAAGUGUGACAUAUUUCAAAAUUAAGAAAACAAGUUUUAAAUUUCAAAAAUCAAAAUUUUAUUAAAAUUUAUUUAUGAUUAAAUUAAUUAAUUAAUUUAUUAGUUAAGUAUAUUUAAGUCACAGAUCUGUACAAUUUAGUCAUGACUUAACAAUUUAAUUAGUCACUUAUUAUUUUUUGGUCACAAAAAAUUUUGUCAAAAAUUAUUUUAUGAUCAAAAUUCAAAAAAAAUUUUUGUCACAAUUUGUUCAUUGGACACAAAUCAAAAAAUUAAUUAACCACAAAUUAAUUUUUAGUCACACUUAUCAAUUUAUUGGUCUCAAUUUAUUUUUUUAGUCACAAAUCAAAAAUUUUAUAGGUCACAAAUUAUUUUUCCAUCACGAAUCAAAAAUUUUACAGGUCACAAAUUAUUAAUCGAUCACAGACUCAAAACUUUUAUUGGACACAACUCAAUUAUUCACUGAAAAUUAUUUAAUUAAUUGGCCACGAUUAAUUUUUCGAUCACAACUUAAUGAAUUGUGAAUCAUGGUCACAAUUUUUAAACAAUUUAUUGGUCACAAACAGAGUAAAGCACCAUCUUACCACCACCACCACCACUAUCUCACCCAUCCUAACCUACUUCGCCACCGCCGCUACCAUACCACAUUGCCACCAACAACCACCACACAACACAAAAAUGCAUAAACCGAGAUGACACCACCUCGCCAUCGCAAAAAAUCGCCACUAUCUCAUCGGACCACCAAAACACAAACGACCGCCACAAAUCCAAAAACCAAAAAAACACCACCACCACUACCCACACUACCGCACCACCAUCACCAUUUGCAAAAUCAUAUCCAUCCCUACCCAACAAAUUAAAAACUUACACCUGCUUACUCAAAUCUCCCCUAACCACCACCACGUACCUCUAACAAAAUCGCUACUGAUCUCCCCAGUCCACCAAUAUUCCUUACCCCGCCAGCAGCCACUCCUUCACAGAUCUAUCCACCUUCAUCCUCAUCAACAAUCCCAUAGCCCAAAACCAAUUGCGCAACGGCACCCAUCAUUGCUCCUCAUUGUAUCUACUUCGUGCAACGCUACUUGAUGUAUCUACUCCUCGUCAUUGUUAAAUUCUAUUGUUGAUUCGGGCAACACUCCUGCCCAUGCUGUCGACGGUGGUCGCCCUCUGAUGUCUCUAUUUAGAUCCGUUCGCAGAGGCAUAGUUACUACUAGAGAUGACACUUAAUCCACUAUGAUGACUUCAUCGUUACAGUGUAGUUAGAGUGAGUGGUCAGUCGUCGAAGAAAAAAUAAAAAUGGGGAAAAUAGAGAGAGAAACGAGAGAGAGAAUGAUUGAUUUGAGGAUAAAUUGAUUUAAUUAGUGAUGUAUUACUACAAUAUUAAAUCUUAGAGAAAAAAUGUAGAGAGAGAAAAAGUAAGUGAAAAAAUUAGGGUUUUCUAAUUUUUGAAUAGUAAAAAUUUCCACUUGAUUUUAGAAUGUGGAAUUUUUAGAGUAUGUUAUUGUAUAAUUUCCACUUAAUUGUAAGCGUGCAAGGAUCCAACUUUCAAAGGCCAACCCAACUUGAGCCAAAAAUACAUUUUUUCUACAAAUUUCAAUCCAAGACACUUCACUUCACAAAUCACUUAGCACUCACUUGUUUUAUCAUUUAGGUUUAGUUAUUGCCUUAGUUUUCAGCUGCUCCUCUCUCACAAGCCAAGAAUUUAUUUUUGAUCCUCAAGAUCCACGUGGACCAUGCCAUCAAAUCCUAUAUUUUCCUAUAUAAAAUCUUAUUAGUUGGAAAAUUUAUAGUUUAUUUAUUUUUGUCAAUUGAGCUUUUUCAAUUAUUUCUUGUAGAGUUUUUUAGCGUGACAAGUCCACUGAUUGAUGAUUAAGUUGAAUGGUUGACAAGUACUUGCAAUACUUAGAAAUGUUUUAUUUCUAUAACUUUUAAUUUAUAUUUUAUUUUUUUUAUGUAGAUUUAAAUGCUUGAAGCAAAGAAAUAAAUGUGAAAGAAUUAUCGAUGUUUUAACACUAUUAUUUGCUUUUUGGUAAUUUGUAUACAUUGGUGAAUGAAUCUUAUUAGACAACUUAUCAUUUGUAUAUAUUUAAAUUUCACUUAUUUCGUAGGAGUUAAGAAUGAACAUAUCAUCGACAUGAUUAGAUCAAUGUAGUGUUAUUAUAAAUAUUAAAAAGUUUAAUUAUAGCAUUGAACCGAAUGAAAUUGAAUCAGUUAGGUUCCAUAAUCAAAUUUAAACCGGACGGUUCCACUUACUAAAUAUCUAAAAAUUCUGGUUCAAAAAGAACUUAACCAUAUCAUGUCAAGGCCUAUAAAGAAUGUUCCAAUGUACUCUUGAUACUUUGUCACAUUUCUUUCCUUUCCCAUAUGAGAAAAACACAUUCAAUGUUCGGGCGAUUAAAAAAAUAGAUUCCUUUCCAAUUUAACUUUGAAUUUUCUACUUCUUUGGUAAUCUCUAUUUCCAACAAAUCUCAUAUCAUCAUUAUACAUGAUUACAUGAUGCAUUAUUCAUGUGCUUCUGUGCUGUGCUUCACCGUCUAUGUACAAUGACAAGCACUACUUACAAAUACAUAUCAGACAAUCAAGGGAAGGGUGACUAAAAAAUCAUUGUUAGAUUUGGUUUUUUGCUUUAGUUAAUGCCAUUCGAGUAGCUUCUUUUGUAAAGUUAUGGAUACAUCUGUUUAUUCCUUCAUGUAUUAUGUGGCUCGGAUUGUUAGUUUGAUGCCCAUUCUUCGAGUAAUGUUCUGUAAAAUCACAUUAUGAAUUUACAUUAGUUUAUUUGCAUGUUAUAAUUUGAAGAGAUUGUCUAAGGUUCCAUGAUCAUAGAGGAUGUCACAAAUUGUAUACUCAAUGGAUCGGGUAUAGUAAGACACAAUUUGUGAUGUGAUCAAAAUUAUGUUGUUCACAAUCGAUUCAUAAAGUUGGACACUUUAUGUUGAUAAGAUUGUAUUGUUCUUAUUAAGAUUUAUCUAGAUCUUGAAAUAGGAACAAUAAUGUGUUUCGAUGAACAUUGAACGGGACCGCGUAGAUGACUCAUUUGUGACCGUUUGAAAUGAGACUCUACUUGAUUAUCAAGCAGGUAACCUAAAUCCUGAGUGAGUAAUAUACCUUUGAUUGCUAGUUCAAGUUCUCUGAGGUACAAAUGAGUGAAGUCUUAAAUAGAAGAUUGAUCUCGGUGCUUUGGGAAUCGGGCUGAAACAAUUAAAGAUCAUAUACUUACAAUAUUGGAAUCCAUUAAUCAUUGUGAUGAGACGAUCGUCACUUUAAGGUAUUUUCCUAGGCAAAUUGGAUCUGAGCUUAGUAGGUUGACGAUGAGAUCGUUGGACUUUACAUUGUGAUUUGAUCACAACGAAUUUGUCGUAUGAAAAUGGGACUUAGAGGGUUAUGCAUGUUGAUGGGGAAAAUGGUAACUUUGCCAGUUUCAACAUAUUAACGGUCAAAUGGGAGUUGACUUGUGGAACGAUAAUAGAGGAUAUUGUUAUUGGAUCAUAAUUUGCUUCUAUAACUAUCAUUCGACCCGAGAGUGCAAUCUCGAUUUUUUGGUAGACUAAGCCGGGAUUAAUAGAUGUAUCUCAAUUGGCCAAGAGUUGACCCAAUUGAAAACAUAUAUUGGAGCUUAGGUCAUGUCAGUCCAAUUAAGUCCCUCUUUUCGCUCCAAUAAAAGGUGUGUGACUUAAUUGACCUACUACAAUAAAGUCUAAAGAAAUUUGUGCAAUUUCCAAACCCUAAUAGGUCAUUAUAAAUAUGCACAUUAUUGGCAUAUUUUGGUGUGAUUUUAGGGUUAACCACUUUUCACAUUCCCCAAAAAGGAAUAACACCUAGUAGAGAACAAGGGAGAAGAUCUAAAGGAGGAAGCAAUUGGCUAGGCCAUUAAUAGCUCCUUCAAAAAGGUUAUCAUCUCCCCUUUCUAUAUAUGAGAGGAUUUUAUAAUCCAAUGAUUUCAAGGUCAAUUAAAUCCUUAUUUACAUGAUUUUAAUUUUCAAAGGAAAAUUAAUUUCCUAUUGUGAUGAUUAAAAUUCAUUAACCAACAAAUGAUAUCAGAGCCAAGGUUAUUGUAUUCCUUGAGUAGGAUUUUUUUUUUUUUUUUAAAUCCUAGUGUAAUAUGCAUUUUAGUUGGGUGGUGUUAGGUUAUUUGAUUUUGACAUGUUUAUGCUUUAAAUAUGUUUAAAGUUAUUGUUGAUAUACUCAUAAUCACUUUUGGCCCUAGAAUUUUUUUACUUCCUAUUGUAAUUCAUUUAUUAUUGUCAUUCUCUAGAAAUAUUAUAAGCCAUAAGGCAUGAAAUUUUUUUUUUCCUUCAUUUUCGUUUUUGUAUUUUGAGGAAGAAAUGUAAACUUGUUGCUAUAAUUUCAAUGGAGAAGAAAGAAGAACAAAGAACAAGAAAUGAAACCAAAAACACCAAAAAUCGGAACAGCAGCUAGUUGUGGCUGCUGUUGCAACAACAGUUGCCUCACAUUCUAACAUUCCAGUGAUUCUAUUUAGAGGAUGAGUCAAGCCAUUCUCUUUAAUUUAGGAGUGAUUUUCUUUAAAUUUCAAAAAUGUUAGAAAAGAGACAAAAUGAGAAACCCAUCCUUGGUUCAUUACAUUGUGCAUGUAUUGUGCAUUCAUUGUUCAAGAGCAACAAAGGUAUUGAGAGUAUAUUAAAGUAUUAAAGUUGUUUGAAGAAAGAACUCUUGUUUUUCCUCUCAUAGCUUGAUCCCACUUGAUCACAUUGCACAUUAUUAAAAACUGACUGGACAAACCGAGCAAUCCAAUUUGAUUCCUUUUAGGUUAAAUAUCUGAAUCGGUACUAGAAUUAAGAAUCGGAGGGUUUGAUUAUGUUCUUGGUUCUAGAUCAAGAAUCGACUAUGAAUCGCACUCCCUAAUUUUUUAUAUUGAAUAAGCUUAAUUACAUUAUUUUUUUCUAUAUAAAUUUAUCAAUUAACUAAUUAAGUGAUUAAUCGUGAGUGCGUAAGGCUCCAACUCUCAAAGGCCAAACCAACUUGAGCCCUGAUCUUUUUUCCUACAAAUUUCAGUCUAAGCCCAAAUUUAGUUUGCAAUUCAUCCAACACUCACUCAUUCUAUCAUUUAAGUAUAGAUAUUGCCCUUGUUUUCAGCCGCUUCCCUCUCACAAGCCACGACUUCACCUUCACUCCUCAAGAUCCACACGGACCACAAAUCAAAUCUUAUAUUUUCUCAUAUUAAAUCUUAUUGGUUCAACAAUUUUUAGUUUAUUUAAGUUUAUUAGUCGUGCUUUUUCAAUUACUUAUUGUGGGUUUUUACUGGGAUAAGUAAAUCAAUGGACGAUUAAUUUAAAUUGUUGAUAAGUACUAGCUAUACUUAAAAAUAUUUUAUAUUUGAAGGAUUGAAGCAAAGAAGUCAAUGUAAUGGAAUUAUCAAUAUUUUAGCAUUAUUAUUUACUUUUUGGUAAGUUGUAUAUAUUAGACAAUUUGUAUUUUGUAUAUUUUGUCCAGACAAUUGUACAAAAUGUCCAAUGAGAUGUUAAUUUAUGAGUACGUCUUGUUAAAAAAUGAUUUGUGAUUUUUCGUUAACGAUAUUGUAAUGUUAUGAUCAUGCAUUUAUUGUCCACUAAAAGGCAGGACCUACAUUUUAUAAAUCGAGUUUUGAUCAUAUGGUAGUAAAAAAUUUUGAAUUUAGACAGUUUUUGUCAUGUGGAAAAUAAUUGGGGAGAAAAGAAUCAUCAAAACUAGAAAUAGAAGAGAAGGAAGAAGGCAAUGGAUUUGACUGGUUUUGAAUUCAAAAGUGGUGUCGUGGCAACUUAUCAAAACGACGUCAUUUUAUUUUGAUUAAUUGUAAUAAGCUAGAAACAUUUUUUUACAUUUUAUCAGUUGAGAAUCACGCUUCUUCACUAUAGAGGUAAGCAGAUAAAUACGGUGUAAAGGGUUUGGAAAGAGUGUGUGUAAUAUCUUCUGUCAAAUUUCAGUGGAAUUGUUGAUUGAAUCAACAGCUUUUCUCAUCUCCGUUCUUCUUGUUUUGCUGUUUUCCCCUUUUCCCAUUCUGUUUUCUCUUAAUUUGGUUACAAAUUUAGCUUGUGAGAAUUCCAUUAUUGAUCUAUCCAAGUCGUGGUUGUGAGGUAAGAUUCAGCUCGUGACAAUUGGUAUCAGAGCAGGCGUAUUAAACUAGGUAAGUGGUAAUCAUGGACACAAGGGCUAACGUGGUGGAUGACCAUUUGGAGAAACUGGAUUUGAAGAUUGCUAAUUUGGGUACCUCGUUCGAAGCAAUGUCUAGCAGACUAGAGAACAAAUUGGCUUCCACGAAUCAAACACUUCAGGUAGUGGUUAAUAGACAAGAGAAUAUUGAAGGUAUUGUGUUGGAUAUGAACCAGAAGUAUGAGAAAUUAGUGGCCAUGAUGACCCAAAUGUCUUUUGAUCUUAAAAUUGAGUAGGAAAACAAAGUAAUAGAAGGAUCUAUGGUUAACUUAAGGUCUGAGAGUGGGACAUAUAGGCCAAGAACUAAUAGCAAUGAGAAUAGUGUUAAUACCACGUGUGUGCUUAAGGGAAAUAAUAGGCUACCUAAGAUGGAUUUUCCACUUUGUGGGAAAAAAGGACCUAGGGAAUGGCUAAGGAAAGCCAUGAAAUAUUUCCAGAUUCACGAGACUCUUGAUGAACUUAGGUAGGGAAUUGCUGAGAUGCAUUUGGAAGGGAAGGCUUAUAUACGGUUUUAUGGAUUCAUUGCAAACCAUCCUGGGGCAGAAUAGAGUUUCUUCUCUGAGGAACUUUGCAGAAGGUUUUCAGAAACUAUUGAGGAAGAAGUGGCUAAGAUAUUUAGUAAAAUUAAACAAUUGGGACAUAAUGAAGAUGAGUCUAAAGGAGAAUCAGGAGGUGAAAAGAUCAUAGAGAUAGCCAUUAAUGCAUUGGCUGGGAGGUGGCAACACAAGACCAUUAGAGUUCCUGGAGUGAUCAAAGGGAGGAAAGUCUCCAUACUUAUUGAUCGUAGGAGUACACACAGUUUUGUUGAUGAGAAAUUAGCCAAAGAGCUGAGAUAUAUUAUUAAGGAAAAUAGCGAAGUGAUAGUUAAAGUGGCUAAUGGGGAUAAACUAGAAAGUGAUGCCUUAAGCUAACCAGUGGUGUAGAAGAUAUGGUCCUGGGAAUUUCAAUUCGAAUUUAGAACUUUAAGUUGGCUGGAAAUGAUGUGGUGUUAGGAGUAAAUUGGAUGAGUCAAUUUGGACCAAUUACCUUUGAUUCUACACAAGGGUGUGUUCAAUUCAGAAGCAAGGAUGGAGUAAUAGAGCUGAAGAGUGAAGCUUCUAAAGAUUCUAUCAAAAUACUAAGGGUAGAAGAGAUGGAGAAAAUGUUUUGUAAAGAGCCUUAUGGGAUAGUGGGGGCAAUUGUACCAUAUCAAGGAGGGACAAACUAUGGAUACAUAUGGUUAGAUUUUGGAGGUCAUACACAAAGUUCCUAGGGUAUUUGAUGAGCAAACAGAGUACCUCCUCCCAAAUCACGUGAUCAUCACAUCUCCUUGAAGGAGGGAGCAUAAACAUUUAGAAUGAGACCUUAAAAAUGCUCUUUUAGUCAGAAAACAGAAAUAAAGAGGCUAGUGGUGGAGAUGCAGAGAUACAAAUUAAACCAACAGUUAAAGGAGAACCUGUCUUAGGCCAUGGGUAGAAUAAAACUUUAUGCAGACAAAAACAGGGGAGCGGGGUCUUUUGAAGUGGAUGAUUGGGUUUUCCUCAAGCUACACCUUUAUACUCAGUAUUCAGUGGAACCCGGGUAUAACCAUAAACUCAAUGCUAGAUAUUUCAGUCCUUAUCAAAUCCGUAAGAAGAUAGGAGUUGUGGCAUAUCAAUUAGCACUACUGGAAGGUUCAAAAUUUCAAUCAGUUUUCCAUGUAUCACUAUUGAAGAAAAAGCUUGAUGAAAGCACAGUGCCUGUUCAACAACUACCUGAAGGAAAAGCAGUCACUACAGUUAGCGCAUUAUCCCUAGCAGUCUUGCAAUCCAGUUUGGUGAAGCUCAAGAACCAUAUGGCAGUACAAUGGCUUAUCAAUUGUUCUAAUUUUCCCUAGAGAGUGCAACCUGGAAGGACGUUGAAUGGAUUCAGUCCUAGUUUCGAACCUGUAGAUCUUGGUGACAAGAUCAAGAUGAGAGGGAGGAUUGUCAUGUGGAAAAUAAUUGGGAGAAAAAGAAUCAGCAAAACCAGAAAUAGAAGAGGAAGAAGAAGGCAACGGAUUUGAUUGGUUUUGAAUUCAAAAAUGGUGUCAUGCAACUUAUCAAAACAGUGUCAUUUAACUUUAAUUAAUUGUAAUAAGCUAGAAACAUUUUUUACAUUUUAUUAGUUUCAAAUCACGCUUCUUCACUGGUGUAAAGGGUUUGGAAAGAGUGUGUGUAAUAUCUUCUGUCAAAUUUCAAUGGAAUUGUUGAUUGACUUAAUAGCUUUUCUCAUCUUCCUUCUUCUUGUUUUGCUAUUUUCACCUUCCCUCAUUCUGUUUUCUCUUAAUUGGUUACAAAUUCAGCUUGUGAGAAUUCCAUUAUUGAUCUGUGCAAGUCGUGGUUGCGAGGUAAGGUUCAGCUCAUGACAGUUUUACGAUUGUUACAUGACUAUUUAAAAAGAAUUUUGCAGGGUUUUCAUCAAUGUGCAACUAUAAAGGCCAAUUUUACCUCGCCCUCCAACACCAUUUGAUUAAAAUGAUAACUAUACCCUUCAUACUAAUAUUCUUCAUAGCCCACCAAGCUCCUUUCAUUUACUUCAUCAAACAGCUUUUAAUGCGCUCUCUCUGCCCUUUUUCACUUUCUUUCUCUAUUAUCAUCUUUAUACCUACAAAUUUCUAGCAUAAAUUCUAAUUGUUUUUCCAAGGCUCAUGCACUCUCAGUCUUACUGUCUGAACAAAGAUAUUUCAGUUUGUAAAAUCAAGAAAUACGUUUAAACUCCUAGAAAAUCAAUAGGCAUUUGUAUAUAAAUAGUUGGCAUCUUCAAAGGUGAAGAUGACAUCUACGUCAUGACCCAAUCGAGAUUUGUUGGAUACUCUAUUACAUUCUUUACCAAUCUCUACUAUGAUGAAUGUCGUGCUUUCAAGAAUCGAGAUUUACUGGACACUCUAUUACAUUAUUUACCAACCUCCACUAUGAUGAAUUUCGUGCUUUCAAGUCCAUGAGCAUGGAGCAAAUUCUUAAGAAUAUUUAAUCUGAUUUGGAGUGUUGUGGUUUGGUGAAUAAUGGGGUUGUUGGUGCUGGAGUAGACUUCAAGAUCAGGAGUGCUUGUGGACUUCAUAAAUAAUCAAAAACAAAAUCAAUCAGCCUAAAUAUGAAGAUGUUUUGCUUCAUUUUUGCAACUUUAUCAAGAGCAAGAUUUUAUUAGUGACUUUCUAGACAAUAUUAUUUCAGUGACAUUGUUUCGAGGAUGAUUAAAGCCAUUCUCUUUGAUUCUGGUCUAAUUUUCAUAAAAUUGCCAAAAAAUGUUAGAAAUGAGAUGAAAAAAUUGGAGCAUGCAUGGGCAACACAUACGUCGUGAAUGUGUUGUGUGUUCUCGUUGUUCAAGCGGAAAAAGUUAUUGAGAGAGCACAUGUAUUAAACAAUCAACGUUCUACAAAAAUUUUGAAUGUAACACAAUUUUUUGGACGCUAUUAGGGUUUUGUUGUUUGUGCCUUCAAUUGCACAACUAUGAUGAACACAUAUUUAUUGUUCACCCAAUGCAUGGGACCCACAUUCUUAUAAAAAUUGACUUCUGUUAAGCCCAGUAUUCAAAAAUAUCAAAUAUAAUUUGAAGAGUGCAAAUUACUAUUUAAAAACAAUUUCGUUUGGUUUCCAUCAUUGAGUGCAAUUAUAAUGACCAUGCAUGUAUUGUACACAGAACACCCAAUGCAUGGGAUCCACAUACCUUUUGUUUAGACUAGUAAUCAAAUUUCAAGCGAGAUGACUUUCUCUAAGUGUCAAUCGACUAUUCAAAAGCGAGUGAUCAAUUUCCAUCGUUGAUAGUACAACUAUAAUGAACACACAUUUUUAUCCACUAAACGUGUAAGAUCCAUACAUUAUUCAUUGACUUUGAACAUUUCGAAUUUAGAAUUUUUUACAAGAGGUACCUGACUGUUUAAAAAGUAUUUGGUAGGGUUUUAAUCAGUGACAUUGCAACUUUAAUGACCAACUUGCAUCACAUAGUACCCGCCACACCUCUAACACCACUAGUUUAAAUUGAUAAAUAUGCCUUUGAUUAGUACUCUUCGUAUCCCACCAAGUUCCUUUUAUCUACACAAUAAAACAGCCUUUAGUGCCCUCCCUAUCCCCCUUUUCACUUUUUCUCUCUGUAUCUGUUAUUUUAUAACUACAUAUUUCUAUCGUAAAGUCAAAUUAUUUUUACAAUGCUGAUAGACUCUCAAUCUAAGUGCCUGAACUAAAAUGUGUCUAUUUUUAAAAUGAAGAAAAUAUUGUUAAAAUCUUAGAAAAUUGGACACAGUUGUAUAUGUAUAGGUCUCAUCAUCAAAGGUGAUUAUAGCUUCUACAUCACCGCCCAAUUGUGAACUUGCAAGUUUCCUAUCAAGUUCUUUUACCAAUCUCCACUCUCAUGACAGUCAAGCUUUCGUGUUUGCAAGCAUGGAGCAAACUCUCAAGAAUAUUUACUCUAAUUCAGAGUGCUCAAUUUUGGAUAUUAAUGGCGUUGUUGGUUUUCAUGUCGGUGUUGGAGGAGAAUUAAGAUAAGCAAUUGGGUGGAUGAUAAAUGUAUUGUUUACGCUUAUCUAGGCCGUAAAAAUGUGAUCUUUGUGAGUCAUUUUAGAUGAAUUAUAGCUUAGUUCAAUGUAAAUUGUGUGUUGUUAGGUACAAAUCGACAUAUAUGAUGAAAUUGUAUAAAAAUGGUAAAAAGGAGCUCAAUUGUAAGAGUUCCAAAGUUUUAAGACUAAAGUACAAAUAAUCAAAAAUUGUGUCAAACCCCACGAUGAAGAUUCGAGAGCGCUAGGAUCAAUUAGAUGAGAAAAGAAGUCAAGUGGAUGAAAUAUAAUUAAAGUAUUUUCACACCAAUUUUCAGUUGAAAAAGUUAUGGUCCGAAUUUUUAGCCUCAUAUUGAUACCCAUUUUUGGCAUAGUAAAUGUUCAAAUUUGAAAAUUUUAUUUCUAUGAGAGUUAUCGUUAUUUGAGUUAUCUUUUCCAACAUACUUUGAAUCUCCUUGAUUGGAUAUCGGGAGAGAAUAUUACAACAAAACUACUGAUGGUUGUCCAGAACAUGAACUAAGGCAGACAAGGUGCGUGCUUGAGCCUCUUCUGAGGCCACUUGAGGCUUGCAAACCACUUGAGGCGAGGAAAUUCCUGUUUUCCUCAUUUUCUUUUAGUAAUUGUAGAAUGCAAUCUUUUCGCAUUUUAUAUAUUGGGAGGCACAUCCAAAAGGGUUUAAGUGGAGGUUUUAUCAUUAUUUGAGGUAGAGAAGAUGGAAUUUACAUCAAGGAGUGAAAUUUCAUAGCUUGGGUCGAAGAUUAAAGUGAAGAUAUUGGAGUUUUCAAACUCUUUGUUAGUACUAAGACCUAGUUAAUUAACCGUUUUCGCACAAUUACUCGUUUCAUUCAUAAUACACCAGCCAGUCAAAACUUCCUACGGGCAUAUUUACGUACAGUUCUGAAUGGGACAACUUAACAAAUUUGUGUUCUUCAAGAUAUAAUCUAUUGUAGAAUUAAAUGAAAAUGAACACCAAAUAUAACGUGGUAAACCCAUAAGGGAAACAUCAACUGGCCUCAUGCCUUGGGUAAAAUAAUACACUCUCAAAGAAUAAAAAUACAAUAGUUUUGGUUCAGUUAUUUCGGAAAAUUAAUUAAAACAAUCAAAAGUAAAUAAAGCACAGCUCACUCAUUUUCUUAUUACUUUUGAGUUGUUGGAGUGGUGGAAUCGAACCCUUCGAUCUUGACUUUAUCACCACUUCACUAUUGUAUUUGGCCGCAACCAGCACUUGGAUUAAUAUUCACCAAUCUUUAACUCACACCAACUAGCUUGAUCUUUGAGUAUGAUUAUAUCAUUCACGUACAAGUGUAUUCUCUUCAAUUACAGUUGAAGAACAUGGUUUCUGCUUAGAGAUACUUCAAUGGAACAUUAGCUGGUCAAAACUCACUAAAGAUGGUUAGAAGACUUCAAAACUUGCUAUUUUAGGUUCGCUUGGCAUAGGCAUAUUUUUCUUAAAGCCUUCGUUGGUCCCUCAGUGAUCUUCUUUACUUAUGUAAUUGGUCCAUUAAUGAUCUUCUUUACUUAUGUAAGGACCCCUUUAAGGCACGAACGUGUCUUACCUAAAAUAUGAAAGUUUUGCACUGUAAGAAUAAUAUAAAAUAUGUUUGAUAUGGUCAAUAAUUAAAUUAUUAAUUCAUUAAAGCAGUCUUUCCUUCUUUUACUUAUUUGACCGGUCAAACCAUUUCAAUAGGGUAAAUAUAUAUUUAUGUAUCUGUAUAAAAUAUGUUUGAUAUAGUCAAUAAAUAUAAAUUAAUAAAAGUUUUGAUUUGUUAAAACGAUCUUUCCUUCUUCUUCUUCUUCUUCUUCUUCUUCUUCUUCUUCUUCUUCUUCUUUAUUUAUUUUUAUUUUUAUUUUUAACUAAUCAAACCUAUCCUAGAUGAUAAGUAUAUUUUCUUGUAUAUGCUACUAUAAGGGAGGUAAAUAUUGCACUUCCUUUAGGGUUUAAAAACCCUAAAAACCGCAAUCAAGAAUUUGUUAACUCGUAGUACUAGUCAGUCCUAACCAACUAGCUUACCUUGUUUGGACUGCAUUAGUUGAACAUUUUUUUUGGCACAUGUUUUGGCAUUUAAAAAUCAUUUUAAUUUAAGCAAGCAAAUAGACAAGUGAUAAGUAAAAGCAUAAAAUAUAUUUUACUUACACUCUUCAUCAUAUUCCUUGCUCGGGGUGAUGUUUUUUCUUAUUAUUAUUUUUUUUUUGUAAUUUUCAUAAGGCAAAGCUAGGUUAAACAAUUUUAUGUAUUGGAUGGAUGAUAAAACUGUUGAUUUAUAGUUUAUAAUUCAAGACUUAUUGAUUCUUUAGUUAAUUCUUGUGUUUGUGAUUGAAUAUGCAUUAAUUAUAUGUUGUUUGAAUGUUCGACCAUCAUUUCGACAACUAGUUUUUUAUUUGUAGUUUUGAGAGACUCACAAUAAGUAAAACACACGGACAAUAGAUAUUAAGAACAAUGUUUAUGACGUGGCAAUUUUAUGUGAUAUUCUUGUGAUUGAAUACAUGCUUUGUAUAUGAUUUGAAUUAAGAAUAGGAUCGGGUUGUGUUAAGCAUAGAUUUAAUAUAUUUGGAAGGUAAUAUUAUGUAUUAACAGAUUAUUGACUGUUAUGAACACAUUAAUAAUGCUAACUCACAAAAGUCAAGAAUUGAAACUAGACAUUAUUAGGUGGACUCUGAUAUCCAAUACAUUCAUCUCAUAUUUGAUUAAUCACCAAUCUCUUAGAACUUUCAUAGUUUAGUUAGAAUUAAAUAAAAAAUAUCAACUCUUUUGUGUUACCAAAUUUGGUAGAAACUGGUAAACUAUAAUUACAUUUAUUUCUCGUGGGAUGAUAACCCAACUCACUACAUUAUUAUUUGUUAAUGACCUCGAAUGCUUGCAUGUUUUGUAUGAAUAGUGGACAACGAGAAAAAUCAAUUAUCAAAAUAAUCUGUUUUGUUAACAUGCUUCAAUUUUGCAACUUUAGAAAGAGCAAAGUUUUCAUUAGAAACUUUCUAGAGUACAUCGUUCGAGUGCUGCUGUUUGGAUGAUGAGUCAAACAAUUCUCUUCGAUUCCGGUCUGAUUUUCAUAAAACUGCUAAAAAAAUUCAAAAAAAGAGACAAAAAGAGAACCCCCAUACCUGGGUCAUGCAUACGUCGUGCAUGUAUUGUGUGUUUGUUCUUCAAGAGGAAAAAAAUUAUUAAUAGUGUGUGUGUGUGUGAAAAUCAAAGUUGUUGAAAGAAACAACUCUUGUUUCCCUCCCAUUGUUUGAUCCAUGUAUCCCAUUUUGCAUUAUUAAAAAUUAUCCAAAUUACUUUUGAUAAUUUGUCACAUUUCUUUACAACAAGUACUACUUACAUAGAUAUACUAGCUAUCAAGGAAAGGGUGAUUAAAAAAUCAUUAUUAGAUUUGGUAAUUUGCUUUAGUUUUUGCAAUUCAAGUAGCUUUUGCAAUGUUACGUAUACUUCAGUUUGUUUCUUCCUAUAUUACGUGGCUCAUACAACUGCCUUCUUUAAUUUUUUGAUGUGGUGUAAUAUAUUCAAGUUACGAAUUCUAGGGUGAUUUUUCCAAGGCUUCAGGUAGAUAUAUUAAUAAAAAUGGAAGCUAACUUAUCACUUUCUGGUGAUAUGAUGCAAGUCAAUCCCCAACAAGCUCCGUAAUUAUACAUGGCAAGUUCUAGAUGCUUUCUCUUUUUAGGUUUGUAGCAUGCAAAAUUUUAAUUAGCCUACGCUGUUAUUUGAAGGAAACAUAGACGAGAUUUUUUGGAAACAGCCAAUGGACGAAUAUUCUAGGCACUCUUAGUGAGCAGAAUCAAGUAGAUGCAGAGAAAAGGGAACCCGUGUGGUAGGGAUAAAAUAAACAGAUGAAAUGUUUAUGCAUUUGAUAAUAGAGAAAACAAAAUUGUUUAUUAGCAUUAGAUGAAACGUACAGAUAUUUUCAUUUGAAUUUAAACAGCAGUCAAGUGGUUGUUGGGAUUGUUGCGAGUCAGGCUCAAGUUGCACAAGACCAUGGCUGUGUUAUUUGAGAUUGAAAUAGCGACGCCCAAGCUCUAGGGACUUGUGACAUUACUAAGUUAUUAAAUUUGCAAAAUUCUACCUAGAUUGUUCAUAAAAGUACAGAAAUUAACUUGGAUUAGAAGCAUUAUAGCUUCAGUGAAUCCGUUGCAAAACUAAAUAAGUUUUCUUUCGAAAAUUUUGGAUUUUCAGAUUGCGCAGCUUUCUGAAAAACAAAAAAUCCAUUUGACAACCAAAUGAUAUCCAAAAUUUACAAAAUUUAAACUGUACGCGUCUUCCACAUAGAAAAUUUACAGUUAAAAUCUCGUAAGCAAAUUCAAUCAAUAGAUAGGUCAAAAUUGUUUUCAAAAUCAGAUCUAUUUGUUCUUGGGUACAUUUUGGUAGCUGUCAGGAGAAUGUCCAUAACUUGAGUUUUACAUAAUUAAAAUUCAUGGUUCCAAUUGUCCAAGAGAUAGAUAAUCCAUAUGGAUACCUUUUCCUACUAGAAUCACCACAAAAUUCAAAGUAUUAAGGUCCAGGUGAAUUUUUUACAGAAACAGAAAAUAUUUUAAACACUAUUCUUACCGCUUAAUUGAACAAAAUAAACCACAAUGAAAUAUCCUAUUCACCUUGAACAAAUUUCCAUUACAUAGUUCAGUGUUUAAACAUCCGAAAACACUAAAUUAAAAUAUUUUAGAAGUUGAAAUAAUUAUUUGAACAUAACUUGACUUAAAUGAUGAUUUUUGGAGUUCACAUCGAGGCAUCACCACUCUCCUCCAUGUCGCCAUCGAUCACAUUUAUCUAAAAUUGUUGGGGGUUGAGUGUCUUACGAAAACACUCCAUAGACUUAUAUGCACGUUAAAUCCAAUUUUUAAUAGUUUAAGCAUAUAUCUAUGUCAUUUAAACUUUUGAUAAAUAAGGACAUCGAUAAUCAUGCAACAUACCAACAUAUGGUGCACUACUACGCCAGCAACUUCAAAUUUCUAGUGCAUGAUAAGUGCAUUUUACACACUUAUUCAAGAUUUAAAAAAUGACAUUCUAUACUUCUUUUGAUGAAAUAUAGCUUAAUUCGUGUUAUAUUGUGUCUAAUAGAUAAAACUGAUGAUUUGAUGAAGAAUUGGAGAAAAUAAGCGAAAAUUGGUGAAAUUAAAACUAUGAGGACUAAAAUGUAAUAAUUCAAAAGUUGUGAUUGGAUUGCGAGAUGGUGAUUCAAGAAUGCCAAGAGUCAAUUGGAGUUACAGAGAAGUCAACAAGAUAAGAAAUUAUCGAAAAGGAUCAAAAAUGUAUUGCGAAAACUUUCAGGACCAAUUUGCAAAACUGGCCAAAUUGGUUCCAAAAAUGUGUACCAUGCUUAAGCAUAGUAAAUUCCUACCUAACACUAAGUCAUGCGUAUUGUGCUCAAGCCCAAAUGAACUGUGCUUAAGCAGGUUCAAUUUCGGGAAAAAAAUUCUUUCCUUAUCUUGUCUUAGAAACUUUUUAUACACAAUUUUUUGACACUCUAUAAAUACCAAAAGCCAUCCUAAACGUGGAGAACAUCCCUUUGGCCUAAAAAUCACAUAUUCUACGUAUUCUGGAGGCAAAGAACAAGGAACAAUCAUCAACCUUCCUUCAUUAUUUCUCGAUCCGGGUGAUGUCUUUUCAUUAUUUAUUUUAUAGCUUAAUGGUUGGCAAGAUUUUUCAAGUGUAUUGGAUGAAUGUUUGAACCUUGCUUUCAUUUAUUUUAAUUCAAGACUUCAAUUUAGGAAUUUCAUGCUAUUACUUGAUUGAUUUUACAAACCCAUUGCACUACUUAUUGCUUGAUCACCAAUUAAGUAGUUAGAUGCUCUUUGUAGCAUAUAAAUACUCAUAAUGAGUUUAGAACACAGUAAAAUCAACAUGAUUAUUUAGAAUUAGGAAUAAUCUAUCUUACACAUGCAAUCUUAUUGACAAUCUAAACUAAAUGCAUGACUUUAAUAUGAAUUCGGACUAGCUAGGAAUAGGUUCGUAUUGUGUUAGUUAUAGGUUAGUAUAUCUUAGAAAAGAGCAUUUAACAUAUUAGCUUUAUCGAUCAUCAAAAAUACAUGAAUUGAAUAGAAUAAUUAUUGAGAAUUGAAAUUAAUGGUAAUAAGGGAUACGUGAAUCUAAUACAAGCAUUUACAUUAGAUUUAAUUACUUUUUAAUCACUCUCUUAGAGGAGAAUUAGAAUAAAUAACAAACUAAUCACAACACUUUUGAUGUCAUCACUUUGAAUUAAUAGUAGCUACUGAACUACACAUUAGACCUUAUUUCUCGUGGGAACGAUACUCUUAACUUAUAAAUUUUAUUACUUGUACAACAUGUAAGUAUUAUGCCCUAGGUCCAAUCAACUUUGGACAUAAAUACUUUUAUAUAUAAUUAAUGCAAUUAAAUGACAGAUCUAUUAUUUAAUUAAUAGACAAUUAAAUAAAUAAUAAAGUCCGUAGAUUCAAAUAUUUGUAAUUUAUUAAUCACAAGAAAUUGUGAUUGUGAGAUACAAAUUACAUCUGAUUGAAUCUUAAAUCAUCCGUGGUCGUGAGUAAUAACGAGAUACAGAUAUCGUUAUUAUAGAUAGACCAUCACGUGUGGCAUUUCUUACUUGUGAAGUGAGUAGCUAAUCUCACAAGUUAAAGUGUGGUGACACUUAAAUAAACAUGUGGAUGUUUUGUUAUAGAACAAAACAUUGGACACCCGUCGAGAGAUUCCACAUGGAUAACUAUUUGAGUGUCAGUGGUUAAUUUCUAACGUUCGAUAGUGGAAUUAGUCCUUUGACUUGAGGUCGUCAUGGUACCUUAUAUGAGGACAGUCAUACUUUGGCGAUAUUGGAUGUUGCUCUGAAAAGGGCUGCUAAUACGACAUCGUUCGGGGCGUCAAGAAUCGUAUGAAGGUUGUGAUUGAUCAAUAAAGGAUUCAUCACUCUUAGAUAGUAGGAGAUUAUGAUCUGCGUUUCAUUCAAUUAAGUCAAUGAUGAAAUCCUUGGUCAAGGUGUACUCAUAAGUCGAAAAAGAGUUUUCGACUUAUAUUGACUUAAUAGUGGAGUGAAAGAUAUGAUCGAUGAUCAAGAUUGACACAAUUCCAUAUCUCAUAAUUGAUCAGAUCAUAUUGACGAAGGGAUUAUAGUUUCACGGUAAACGAACGAAUUUGGUUUUGUCAUACCACGUGACAUUUCCCAUCACAUGUAUUGCCCUGACACAUUGCUAAAUGUCAAUCAGGGACGGCGAGUGUGAAUUGACGAUAAAUUAAAAGGGUGUUUUAAUUUAUCAAUUUUGAUUAGAUCAAAAUAAUAUUUCACGUCGUUAGGUAUCGGGAACCUAGUGGGUCGCACAUAAAAGAGAAUUGGAAGAUUGCAAAUUUUCAAUUGGUUAAUUUAACAAUCGUUGGAUAAAUUAAUUAAUUGGAUUUGUUAUUUAUAUUCCCAAAUUAAUUAAUUAGAUUAAUUAAUUCACGGACCGGAUUUAGUUAAUUGGAUUAAUUAAAUAUUAGACAGGACUUCGCCGAGCCCGUUUGAGUUUAUAUAAAUACAUAAUUAGGGUUUGAGGUCCAUAUGAUUUUCAUUAUUCUUGCUGGCAUAAGAGAGAAAACCCUAGAAACUGCAAUCUUAUUCUCUGUGUGGAUCACCGUUGGAGGCUGGACAAUUGGACAGCUGUGGUGGCGAAUCAAGAUUGCUGGAACGAGAAGAAAAGCAAAAAGUUAGCAGAAUUCUUCAAAGGUACAAUCUUUAUCACGAUUUCUAUCUAAACACAAAGGGAUCCUCGAUGGGAAUCGAAAAUUAUUUUAAAUUUCGCUGUGCAUAUAUAAGUAGAUUCCCAACAGUGGUAUCAAAGCCUACUUUGUGUUUGUUAGAGAUUGUUUAUUGUCUUGUUUAUGUAAAUAAUCAAAAAGUUGAUUGUUGGUUUCUUGUUUCUAGCAAUUAGAAAUUUAUAUCAACAAAAUGGUUUUGAAUAUAAAAUAAACUUUCGAUUGGAAUCUGAAAAAAAAGUGUUUUUUUCUCGUGCAAGGCGGUCUGCCGGCGGCAAGUGUUGCCGCCGACGGGGGGAGGCAGCACGGCAGCCAGUGCUGCCGCGCUGAGAUAGCGGUGCUCGCUGCCAUGGGCAGCUGCGAGCGUCGCUACUGUGUUUGCAGGCUUGCUGCUGCUAUCGAACAACAGCAGCAGUGAGCUGUUGUGCGCGGCAGGAAGCUGUCGCAAGCUGGUUAACCGGCGCUGACAGUGACGCCGGCACCGGGGGGGAGGGGAGGGGAGGGGAAGGGAGAACAACAACCAAAAAAAUAAAUAAAUAAGUAAAUAAAAUUGAAUUAGGGUUUCACUGUUAACGGGUGAAGGAGGUUGGAGGCAGGGCGCUCAUUGCAAUUAAUGUGAUUGCAGGCCCCCGCAUGCAAUUAUGCAAAAAAGGGGGGUCAAAUGCAAUUUUUUAGGGAGGACCUAUUCUGCAAUUAGCGAAUUGGAAGGGUUUGAUUUUUAAUUUUAACUUGGGUCAAAUUGCAUAUUUUGAAAGUGUUUAAAUUUGAAUUUUAAAACGUUUUUAAAAUUGAAUUUCAAAUGAAUUUGACCCAUAAUUUUAUUUUGAGCCAAAUUAAAAAAAAAUUAUUUAAAAUUGACGACUUUAAUAUUUUCGUUAAAAUAUGAUUUUAACUUAAAAAUUAAAUUUUGACCCCUAUUGAAUUUUAUUUUAUUUAGGAGUGUUAUCAUAAUUUAAAAUAUUGAUUCAAUUUAAAUUAAAGUUGGACUCUAAUUUACGACUUAAUUAAAAUUUGAUUUUAAUUAAUUUUUCGCCCGAAGAUAUUUUAGAAGUUAGAAUUGGAUUCUAAUUUGACAUUUAAUUAAAAUUUGAUUUUAAUUAAAUUGUUUUGCCCUAAACUUUUCUUUAAAUUAGAGUUAGACUCUAAUUUAAUGUUUAAUUAAAAUUUGAUUUUAAUUAAACAUGUUCGCCCUAAGAUCUCGAAAUUAGAGUUGGACUCUAAUUUGGUAUUUAAUUAAAAUUUUGAUUUUAAUUAAAUUAAUUCGCCCUUAAUUAUUGGAAUUAGAGUUAGACUCUAAUUUUGUUAUUUAAUUAAAAUUUGAUUUUAAUUAAAUUUAGCUGCCUCACAUUUUGAAAUUAGAGUUCGACUCUAAUUUAUUCAAUUAAAAUUUGAUUUUAAUUAAAUAUUCCCGCUAAUUAAAUAAUUGAUUAAUAUGAUUAAUUAAUUAUUUAAUUGUUCCGAUCUAUUUGUCUAAAAGAAUUUAGACGACUUAAUUGCUAGAAACUUAAAAUUAAUUUGCAUAUAAUAUUAGAUAUUAUAUAGGUAUACAUUUAUGUAAUGAAUGUAUUAUUAGUGGACAAUUAUGGAUUCGACCAUAUGGAUGUGUUGAAUAGUUAAUUUUUAUUCUUAUCGUUUUAUGGGUCUGCGAGCUCUUAAUUAUUUUGGACUUGUGAGCCCGUUAUUAUUGUUAUUAUUUUGGACCUGUGAGUCCGUUAUUAUUGCUAUUGCUAUGGGUCUGCGAGUCCAAUUUCAUUUAGGCCUGCGUGCCAACUAGUAUAGGAUACAAGUUGCAAUUGGACUAAUUGAAGAGACAAGAAAAAGAGGAGACCAUAGAGAUGGUGCAUUGAUACUGAUCAGUGUGAUACCCCCUAGGAAUUGACCAACUAGUCUUCCUUAUGGCUCGGGAAGACUAGCUAGUAAAAGUCCAUAAUUGUCCACACUAUUAUAUUAUGUUAUAUAUAUAUUUAUUUGCAUGGUAGAUGUAUAAUAAUAUAUAUAUGAUUGUAUUGUUCUUGAUGAGACUUUUGAAUACAAAAUCUAUCCGUAAAAUAUUAAGUCACAUUUGUGAGCCUUCCAUCAUUAUAGUGAAAAAUCAGAGUCCCAAAUCGUCUCAACUUGUUGAGUACACUCAAUGCUGGUCCAUUAGGGAUAUGUUUGACACUAUGAAAUAUUUAAUAUUUCUGAAUGACGGGUUUGACUUAACUAAAAAUUAUCUUUUGUUGAGUACACUCAAGGAGAUAAAUUUUAGAGGCAUGUUAAGCGAACACAUAAGAGUAUGAAAACAAAGAGUUGUUAGCUUAAUGAUCUGGGAGUUGUAUGGAGAUACAAUUGAUAACAAUAUCUACCCAAAUGUUAUAUUAAGGCUUGUUGAGUACACUCAAGGUCUUAAUAUAAUGGAUGGGAUCCCAGCUCACUGAGAGUCAAGUAUGGACUCCAUAAAUUUAUGUAAGAGGGUCAUAAAUUUUAUUUAAACAGUGGGAGCAUAAUUAAUUUAAUAAAAGUCCAUGUUAAAUUAAUUGAUGCAUUUUAUAUAUAUUAUUCUUUUCCUUUCCGUCAUUUACAUUUAUAUUGAAUCGUGAGUAACCAUAUGUUUUGAAUGGCAUACUAGAUGCCAACAACCAAACUAUAUUUUUUUAAUUGACACCGCAAUUUGAGAAUUGUUCUCAUGCAUGAGAAAAUUGGUCAUGUCCUUGAGUAGCCCUUUCCAGAGACAUCUACUGAUGACUCGAUUAAAGAAGAGGUGGCUACUGUAGUAAACGCAAUUAUGACAAUAGUACUGCAAUGUAUGUGAUACUUGCAACUAUGUCACUGAGUUACAAAAGCGACUUGAGAGUAUAGAUGUUAACACAUAAUUCUUCACUACAAAGAGUUGUAUGCUAAUAAUCGUGUGUGGAAGGAUAUGAGACUUCCAAACAACUAUAUCGGUGCAAAAUGACAAAGUAAUCUUCAAUCGAUACUUAGACAUUCAAGAUGAUUGACGUUGAUAAAUGUCUCAAUUAAGUUCAAUCAUAAAUCAUGAACCAAGUAGCGACUUGGUUCUGCAAUCUUUGUCAGAGAAAGUUAUUCAUAACUAAUUAUGAAUUUAACGUAAAUAAGCUCGAAUGCAAAAUUAUUAAGUUGCUUAACAUGCUUAGGACUGUUAAGCCCUUUAUCAAAGUUGGUAGUGGGCAAACCAUUGAUUCCUCUAAAUAUAUUAAGAGGAAGUCUAAAGGGGCUUUAUGAAAGCAUCCAAUAUGGUUAAGACAGUCUAAGCGAAUGAUAAUACCAAAUCUAAUGACCCUUGAUUUCAUUAUAGAAUGAAAGGUCAUUGGAAGGAAUAUUGUAUGGCUUACGUCUACUUCAUGAGUUUCUUAGGUAUAUGAUACUAGGUGUAAAUAUCGUAUUUAUAUAAAUAUGGAGAAACUAAAUAGAAGUAAACCACUGCAAAAAGGAGAAGUUGACAUAGACGUUAGAGAUGAGCAAAGGUUGCUGCAUUGCCUGUAUGAAUAUACUUCUUGCCAUUGCCUUUUGGUUUUAGUAUUAGAAUUAGAGAAAUGUCGCUUUAUACUCACCAUAGCUGAAACAUUAAAAUGAAUUUCAUGUUCGGACAUGAACAAUUUUAAUGUUAAGGGCAAUUGUUGUUCUUGUUUAUCUUGAUAAAGAUCCCAAUGGUUAUGGUAGAUUACAAAAUGAUGUUUAUAUUCUUUAAUAUUAAAGAUUCUAUAAUGAGUAUAGAAAUUAAAAGGCAUAAAUGCGAUAAUCUAAUUAUUACCAAAAUCUGGCAUGACAUACUUUGUCAUUUAGAUGAAAUGUAAUUCAAAAGCUACAUAAAGAUGUAUACUUGGGAUUAAUUGACUUUGACAAGUAUAAAUUAUGCAUGUUUGGCACAUUGACCAAAUCUUCUUUUACUUGAAAAGAAGAAAGGUCAGCAUAAUUACUGGUCUAAUGUAUGGUGAUGCAUAUGGACUCAUGUCAAAAGAUGCCAGGUAAUGUUUCUCUUAUUUCAUCAAUGAUCUUGUAUACUUGAUGAAAACUCAAACAUGAAAUUCUUGAAAAGUUCAAAGGAUUUACACUAAAAUUAGAGAAACAAAUAGGUAAAGAUACCCACACAUUAAGAUUCGAUCCAGUGAGAGUAUCUUAAAGAUAAAAUUUAGAUUAUCUAAGAGAGAAUGAGAUUCUCGUGCAGUGGACUCCUUCAUAUACACUGCAUCAAGGUGGUGUAUCUAAAAGGAGGAAUCGUUAAUUAUUACAUAUAAUGCGAUUAAUAACAAGCCAUGCAAAUUUCUCAAAAUUGUUUUGAGGUCACGCAUUGAUUGCAGUGUGCAACACACUAAACCAUAUCCCAUCUAAAUUGGUUAACAGAACUCCAUACGAGUUAUGGAAAGACAAGAGUCCCAAUUUAUUUUAUAUGAAAGUUUGGGACCAUGACGCUUAUUUGAAGUGCCUUAAAUCGGAUAAGUUUGAGAUCGAAUCCGAUAGAUACAUAUUUGUGGGAUAUUCAAAUGAGACAUUUGAAUAUAAAUUCUAUUAUCAUGAAGAAAAUCUUCGUCUCACGACAUAUCAUCUUUUUAGAGAAAAUGUUUACUCUUGGAGAAGACAGUGGGAGUAAAAUAGAAUUUGAAAGAGUUCAAGAGUCCACAGAUAUAGUUAACCAAGUAGAUAAAUCUGAGUUUGAUCCCAUAUCUGAUAUGGGACAUACUUUGGAUCAGGAAGUAAAGACUCAUGAGGACAUGACAGCUCUAUGUGAAUCUAGUAGGAUCAUUCGACCUUCCAGAAGAUGCAAAUUCAUGAUCAUUAAUCAGGUAUUAGUGAUCCAGGGCAAUGAACCUGAUAAUUGCAACAAAAUAAAGUCAAGUGUUGACUUAAAAGAGACAGCAUGAGGCCAUGAUACUCGAGAUGAACUCAACGUAUGUGAACAAGGUUUGGACCUUGGUUAAGCCUCCUGAUGGAAUAAAACCCAUAAGGUUUUCUAAAUAGUUUACAAGGGAAAUGUCGAUAUGGAAGUGGAUAUCCAUAUAUACAAAGCAAGGCUAGAAGCAAAGGUUAAGUGUUGACCUUGGUGAAACUUUUCUCCUGUGACCUUGCUGAAGUCCAUUCGGGUUUUAUUUGUAACAGUUGCAUAUCGUAACUAAAUGUUAAGAUAAGUCUCUAUAGAGCUGAAAUCUUCGAUUUGAUGGAAAAAGUCAAAGUAUUUUAUUUUAUCAAAUUUGAAGACGAAUUGUGUAUUUACAAAAAGAUAGUGGGAGCAUUGUCCUGUUCCUAAUAUUAUAGAAAACGAUAUCCCUAUGUUUCAAUCGUUGAAAUAAUGGUCGUUAAAGGAUUUAUUCAUAAACGAAAUGGGAUAAGCAACUUGAUUUAUAGAGGUAGAUCUAGAAGAUUGCUUAACUCAUCCGAAUUUACAUAGAUGAAAUCUUGAGAAGAUUUCAUAUGGAGAAAAUAGUUUACUCUUAAGAGGUAUGUUGGAAAGGUUCCAAACGUGAAGUAACCGUUGAUUCAAUAGUAGAAACCUAAUACAUGGAUACUUCAGAAGUAGCAAAGAGUUGCAAUAUGGAUCAUGAUGUUAGUAAAUGAACUUGGAGUAGUUCCUGAUAUUGUUGAUCACAUACAAUAAUAUUGUGAUAACAAUAGAGCCAUUGCGAAAGCAAAGGAACUAAGGUCUCAUCAAUGAUCCAAACAUGUAUUAAGGCGGUAUAAUCUCAUCAAAAAGAUAAUACAUAGAAAUGAUGUAAAGAGAAGAGCAAAUUUCCACAUUUAAUAAUAUUGCAGAUCCAUUGACAAAGAGUUGUCGUAGUAUAGACAUGAUCGUCAUGUAGACUUAUGAUAUUUGAUACAUAAGUGAUUGGAUCUAGUGCAAGUGGGAGUUUGUAAGUAUUAUGCCGUAGGUCCAAUCAACUUCGGACAUAAAUACUUUUAUAUAUAAUUAAUGCAAUUAAAUGGCAGAUCUAUUAUUUAAUUAAUAGACAAUUAAAUAAAUAAUAAAGUCGGUAGAUUCAAAUAUUUGUAAUUUGUUAAUCACAAGGAAUUGUGAUUGUGAGAUACAAAUUACAUCUGACUGAAUCUUAAAUCAUCCGUGGUCGUGAGUAAUAAUGAGAUACGGAUAUCGUUAUUACGGAUAGACCAUCACGUGUGGCAUUUCUUACUUGUGAAGUGAGUAGUUGAUCUCACAAGUUAAAGUGUGGUGACACUUAAAUGAACACGUGGAUGUUUUGUUAUAGAACAAAACAUUGGAGACCCGUCGAGAGAUUUCACAUGGAUAAUUAUUUGAGUGUCAGUGGUUAAUCUCUAACGUUCGGUAGUGGAAUUGGUCCUUUGACUUGAGGUCGUCAUGGUACCUUAUAUAAAGACAGUCAUACUUUGGCGAUGUUGGAUGUUGCUCUGAAAAGGGCUGCUAAUACGACAUCGUUCGGGUGCGUCAAGAACCGUAUGAAGGUUGUGAUUGAUCAAUAAAGGAUUCGUCACUCUUAGAUAGUAGGAGAUUAUGAUCUGCGUUGCAUUCAAUUAAGUCAAUGAUGAAAUCCUUGGUCAAGGUGUACUCAUAAGUCGAAAAAAGAGUUUUCGACUUAUAUUGACUUAAUAGUGGAGUGAAAGAUAUGAUCGAUGAUCGAGAUUGGCACAAUUCCGUAUCUCGUAAUUGAUCAGAUCAUAUUGACGAAGAGAUUAUAGUUUCACGGUAAACGAACGAAUUUGAUUUUGUCAUACCACGUGACAUGUCCUGUCACAUGUAUUGCCCUGACACAUUGCUAGAUGUCAAUCAAGGACGGCGAGUGUGAAUUGACGAUAAAUUAAAAGGGUGUUUUAAUUUAUCAAUUUAGAUUAGAUCAAAAUAAUAUUUCACGUCGUUAGGCAUCUGGUCGGGAACCUAAUGGCUCGCACAUAAAAGAAAAUUGGAAGAUUGUAAAUUACCAAUUGGUUAAUUUAAUAAUCGUUGGAUAAAUUAAUUAAUUGGAUUUGUUAUUUAUAUUCCCGAAUUAAUUAAUUGGAUUAAUUAAUUCACGGACCGAAUUUAAUUAAUUGAAUUAAUUAAAUAUUGGACCGGAUCGGGCCGAGCCCGUUUGGGUUUAUAUAAAUACAUAAUUAGGGUUUGAGUUCCAUAUGGUUUUCAUUAUUCUUGCUGGCACAAGAGAGAAAACCCUAGAAGCUGCAAUCUUAUUCUCUGUGUGGAUCACCGUUGGAGGUUGGACAAUUGGACAGCUGUGGUGGCGAAUCAAGACUGCAGAAUUCUUCAAAGGUACAAUCUUUAUCACGAUUUCUAUCUAAACACAAAGAGAUCCUCGGUGGGAAUCGAAAAUUAUUUUAAAUUUCGCUGUGCAUGUAUAAGUAGAUUCCCAACACAACGAUCGUGCACGCUUGCGUAUUUUGUCCAAACAAGUUUUUUGCUCCAUUGCUGGAGAAGAAUGGAUUUAAUUUUAGUUUACUAGUUUAUAUUAGAUUAUAUUUAUAUUUAUAUUUUUGUUGAUUUUAGCUACCCACCCUGAUCUCUAUUGUUUGACAUUCUUUCUAGGUGCUAUUCAGCAGUAUAUUUGGAUUCUGACGCUGGCAUGUUAAAAAGAUUUUUGCAAUAAAUAAUCUCGACAUGAACUAUAAGAUGAUAUUUAUUGUGUAUUCUACUAUGGGGUGCAUUAUAGUGGCUACUAUUUGAAUACAUGCACCAAACUCUAUCAGUUCAAGCUGCUACGGUUUACGUAAUAUUUAAGAUGUCAAAACUAGCAAUUGAUACAUAUAUUGAAGGCUACAUGCCUAUGGGCGAGUGUAUCCCUUUCGACACGCUUGUGGGAUUUGAUCAUUUCAUGUCGAACGAGGAGGUACUUGCAAAAUACUACACUAAUCUUGCUAAGUUGGAUGAAAACAAACUGUGUGUGAGAGAUGGCCUAUUCUGGCAGGAAUUUAAAAGGUGGGAGUAUAAUCCACUCAAAAAGUUUAAAAGAAAAGAGUUUCCAUGGCUCAUGGAUUUAAAUUGUGAAACGAUCAUUUAACCCAAGGAUAUAUCAAUUAUGGAAGAUGAAAACAAAGACGAUGAAAGUUCAAUUACAUAUGACCAAAACAAAGAUAAGGCAAUUAAUGAAGAAGGCGUUAACCCACAUUCCAUGGACUUCAUUGAUUGCCCUAUCAUUGAAUUUGUAAUUAAGCCGAAAGAGGAGGAAGAAGUUUAUGUAGUUGAAUUUGAAUCAGAUGAGAUUGGCAAGUCAUAUCAUAUUGGAGGGGGCAGUGUUAAAAUUUGUAGAAGCAACAAAGAGUGGAGCAAAGUCAAAAGAGGCAAAUUGAGCAAAGCAUCAAUAGUGUUCUUCAGAAUUCCAUGAUUUCAAAACAGUGAAGACAAGCUAAGGACAUUAAAUAAAGUGUUUAUUAGGAGGCAACCCAAUUUUUCUUUCCUUUAUUUAUUAUGCUUUCUAGUCAUAUGAUAAUUUAGUUUAUUUAUUAGUUUUAAUUAGGGACUCAUCAUCCAUUUGUCAUUUUCCCUUAUGUCCUCGAGAUUUAAUUAGUUUAUUAGAUGUUUGAGUUAAAUAACAUUUGUUCCAAAUAUUCAACCUUAAAUGUUUUUAUCUAAUCAUAUUGUGCAUGGAUAUGACAACAUAGAACACUGAACCAACAAUGACCAAGAAGACAAUGGAGAGCAAUUGGAAAGCUAGCUAUUGAAUAUGUGGAUUUAGAAUUUAAGACAUUGAGGAUAAUGUCUAGUUUAAGUUUGGUGGUGAAAACACGAGUUUUCUUUUGUUCUUUUGUUUUUGUUCAUGUUCUAUUGCUUUAGCUAUUAAACCAAAAAUAAAAUAAAAUAAAAUUUGAAAUGUUUAAAAAACUCCAAAACUAUUUUAUUUGUGCGAGUUAGUUGAUCUGGCAAGUAAUGAUGAAUUUAUUAAAUUAUAAAUUGAUCUACGAAUGAUGAAUAGGUUGCAUGCUUAGGUUAAUUUUUACUAUUCCAUGUGAAAGCUGAUAUAUAUUGAGCAAAUGAAUUAAGUUAAACAUUAUGUAGGAAUGACUUGAAUUCAUAAUUGGAUAGGUUAAAAUAGUGGACAUAGAUGCGAAACCCAAAGUCACUAAAUUCUACAUCCUUAGACCAAAUUUGGAAUAGUUUGGGAAGAUUUCAUUGUUGUAGAAAGAUGUUAAGAUAAAUGGGAAUUCCAUACGUGAAAUUAAAUAUCUUGUGGGGAUUCUCUAAGGUCAAUAGGAUGAAAGUGGAUGAAAGUCUUAAGUUAAAUGUCAAUUUACUUGAAUAGAUGUUUAAUGAGGGACAUUGCACUAAUCAAGGUAUAAAAAAUAUUUUAUUUGAAAAUUUUUCUUUGUGACCUUGAUGGUUCAAGCCAUUAAGCAUGUAAUAGUGUCAAAACUUGUUGCCCUAAAGUCAACUGACUUGAAAGACAUUGGUCUAAAGUUUGUCAAAUGGGCUAUUUAGAAUGCUUAAAGGAGAGAAUGCUGCAAAUAAAGAAAAUAGUGUUGAAAUAAAAAUUGAGGAAUAUAUAUAUAUAUAUAUAGAAAAAGUGGGUUUAUAAACAAAAGAUGUAUCAAAUACCUUGGUUAAACCCAAAACACUUAGCUAGGGAAAUUUUGACUUUUCAAAACGGAUUUUUAGCCUAGUUAAGUCCUGGAGAUUGAUGGAAUCAAAAUUAAAGGAAAAUCCUAGUCUAUUGGCAUGUUAAUAUGCAAUUGGUAAGAUUCUCCUAAACUAGAGAGGUGGGGAUAGUAUAAAAAUCAACUUUAGAUUACACACUUGAAAAGAGUGAAAAGAACAAGUUUGGAGGUAUUUGAAUCUCACAAGUGAAGAUAAGAACAUAUUUGACUAUCAAGGAUCGGGAAUGGAAGAACUUUUGAAUUCAUGAUACUAUUCUUAAUUCUUCACACACACACGUCGACUUUGCAUUGGAAAAUAGACUUUGAUUUCUUUAUUAUGAUCUUGAAGCUGUGCUUAAAUUUAAUAUCAUGAUUUCAAUUUGGAGAUAAAAUGUCAAGUUAGCUAGCUAAAUAUUUUUUCUUGCUUGCGUGUUUAUUUUAAGUUAGGUUAUAAUUUUGUUUGAGAACAAACAAAUGUUCAAGUUUGAAGGUUUGAUAAGCGUAUUUUACACACUUAUUUGAGCUCUAAAUAAUGACAUUUGUAUUUCUUUUGAUGAAAUAUAGUAUAAUUCGUGUUAUAUUAUGUCUAAUAGGUAAAACUCAUGAUUUGAUGAAAAAUUGGAGAAAACAAGAGAAAAAUGGCAAAAUAAAAACUAUGGGGAUUAAAAUUUAAUAAUUCAAAAGUUGUGCUACAUUGCGAGAUGGUGAUUCAAGAAUGAAAAGAGUCAAUUGGAGUUGAAGAGAAGUCAACAAGAUGAGAAAUUAUCAAAAAGAUAAUAAAAAAAAAUGCAUUGCAAAAUGUUCCAAGAUCAAUUUGCAAAAUUGGUUCCAAAAAUUUGUACAAAUUUGUAAAAGCUUAAUAAUACGGACCGAAUAAAGUAAAAUUUAAUACUAAAAUGACACAAAGCUUAGUACUAAGGACCAAAUAAGUGCACAAAAUCACACUUAUCUGUUACGAUCAUUGAACUUUCUUCCAUUUAGUUUUGAAUACAAGCGGUUUCUCUACCACCUAAUGUAUGCUAUUAUUGAAAGCCAACUAUUUGGCGAUUAUAUAGUGUGAAUAAAUCUUGUCAUUUAACUUAGGGUUCUUAGAUUUGUGUCCCCCUAGUGUGGCUAGGCACAAGGUAAAGAGUGUAGGCUUUAAUGGUUUUUAUGGUUUUGUCAUUAGUUCUCCUAUGUGAUUUUCUAUUCUUAGACUGUAUUACAUAGUCAAAAAGAAAUGAAGAUUGUCAAGAAUCAAGUGUAUAAUCUGAUAGAAGAUCAAUGGUUUGGUGAACGAUAUAUAUAUAUGACAAUAUUUAUACUUAUAAAGUAUGAAAACCCAUGGGCUACAAUUAUAGUGUGUGUAGAGUUAUUUUCAUUAAUAUUAUGUAUCUUUUAAAAAAAAAAUUGCAUUUAAAAUUUUUAUCCCACAACAGAAAUUGUCGGGCUCCGCCACAGCAUGCAUGUGUCAUGCAUCCCUAGUUCAAGAUGAAAAUGUUAUUGAGAGAGUAUAUGCAUUAAAAAAUUUAAUGUUCUGCAAAAAUUUCGAUUGAGACAGUUUUUGGAGUGUUUAAUGACUACUUGAAAAGUGUUGUCUUUUGUAUCUUUGAAUAUACAACUAUAAUGAACAUGCUUUUAUUGUUUAUCCCAUGCAUGGGAUCCACGUUCUUUUAAAUAAAUUUUUGUUUAGUCGGGUAUUCAAAAAUAUCAAACUAAAAAUGUUUUAAUGAUCUACAUUAUUAUUUAAAAAGAAUUUGGUUGGUUUUAAUAAUUGACAGUGCAAUAAUAAUGAACACUCAUCUAUUGCACACUCAUUCGUCAUUAAUAGUACACAUUCAAUAUACACACACUUUUAUCCACAAAUGCAUAGGAUCCACAUUUUAUAUGUUGACUGUUGUUCAUAUGGUGUUCAAAAACUUCUGAAUUUAAACACUUUUACAAUUGUUUCGUGACUAUUUAAAAGGGUAUGGCAAGGUUUUCCUCAUAGACAGUACAACGGUAAUGGUCAAUUGAUCUCGCCUUCUACCCACCACAACUCCAACACCACUUGGUUAAUUGACAACAAUGCCUUCAUAUUAAUACUCAUCAUAUCCCACAAAGCUCUUUGUAUCCACCAUUUUUAUAUUAACAAAUUUCUACCAUAAAUUCCAACUUUUUUUUUCUAAAGCUCAUGUGCUCUCAAUCUUACUAUCUAAACGAAAAUAUUUCAAUUUGUAAAACCUAGAAAAUACAGAUGGAGACCUAGAAAAUCUGUGGACAGUUGUAUAUACUUAGUUGUCAUCAUCAAAUGUGAUGAUGGUGUCUACAUCACGGCCCAAUCACAAUCUUCCUAGUACCCUAUUACAUUAUUUUACCAAUCUCCAAUCUCAUCACAGUCAGGCUUUCAAGUCUAUGAACAUGGAGGAAAUUCUAAAGAAUAUUUACUAUGAUUCGGAGUGUUUUGCUUUGGAUAUAAUGGGAUUGCUUGUUUUCGUGUUGGUCCUGGAGGAGAAUUGAAGAUAAGGAGUAACUGGGAGGACUACAAGAAAAAUAAAAAACAAAAUCAAUUUUAUCUAAAUAUGGAGAUAACUUGCUUCAAUUUCGCAACUUUAGCAAGAGGAAAGUAUUUAUUAGAGACUUUCUAGACUAGAUCAUUCCAGUGAUGAAGUUUGGAGUAUGAGUCCAGCCAUUCUCUUUGAUUCUGGUUUGAUCUUUAAAUUGAAAAAAAAAAGUUAGAAAAGAGACAACAUGAGAAUACCAUCUAUGGGUCAUUACAACGUGCACGUGUUGUGCAUUCGUUGCUCAAGAAGGAAAAAAGUUACUGAGAGUAUGUAUGUGUGUGUGUGUGUGUGUAUAUAUAUAUAAAACUCAAACUCAAGUGAAAUGAAGCCCCGACGGGUAUACCGGUGGUUGAUUAGAAGAGGAAGCAUGCCCUCAUAUGCUGCUGGAAGUAAAGGCUCUUACUUUCCCUCUCAUAGUUCGAUCCCAUUGUGAUCUCAUUUUGUAUUACUAAAAAUUAGGGCUAGAUAAUACUCCCGAACCUAAUCAAGUGGUUUAAUUCGAUUCUUGUUUGAUUAAAUACCUGAAUUGGAACUAAAAUUGAGAAUCGACGGAUUUAGUUUAGUUCUUGGUUCUAGAUCAAAAAUCGAAUCUCCCAAUUUUUUAAAAAUGUUUUAUAUUGAACAAGCGAAAUUAUUUUAAUUUUUUUCUAAGCCCUUGUUUGAGCCUCAUUUUUUCAAAACUUAUUUUCAACCACACAUUCUUCUAUAUAAUAAUUAUACACGUAUUUUAUUUUUAAAAAAAUUCCCUACUUUUUAAUCACACAUCCUCCAAAAAACCACUAUUCCAUAAUGCCUUUUAUCCCAUAUUUUUGAAUCAAACAUGGGGUAAACAAAUUUGUCAAUUAAUUAAUUAAGUAAUUAACUGUAAUUGCGCAAGGCUCCAACUCUCUAGGGCCAACCCAACUCAAGUCCAAAAUAUUUUUGCUACAAAUUUCAAUUCGACUACAACUUUACUUCACAAUUCGCCCGACACUCACUUAUUCUGUCAUUUAGGUUUUUCCAUGACCCUCAUUUUCGGCCGCUUCCCAAUCAGAAGCCACGACUUCAUCUUUCCUCCUCAAGAUUCACACGGACCACACCAUCAUAUCAUAUAUUUUUCCAUAUUAAAUCUUAUUAGUUGGACAAUUUUUUGAUUAGUUGUGCUUGUUAGAUAUGUUUUUUCAAUUAUCUCUCAUGGAGUUUUUUAGUAUGACAAGUCAAACAACGGAUAAAUAAUUUAAAUGGUAGAAAAGUACUAGCAAUACUAAAAAAUAUUUUAUUUCUAUAACUUUUAUUUUAUAUUUCACUGUUUCAUAUAUAUUUGUAGGCUUGAAGAAAAGGAAUCAAUGGAAUAGAAUUAUCGAUAUUUGAGCGUUGUUAUUUACUUUUUGGUGAUUUGUAUGCAUUGAUUAAUGGAACUUAUUAGACAACUUGUUAUUUGUAUAUUUUGAAUCUGAACUAUGUUAUUUUUUAGGAGUUAAAAUUGAACAUAUCAUUGGUUGCAUUAAUGUAGUGUUGAUUUAAAUAUUAAAAAAUUUAAUUAUAGUACGAAUCCGAAUGGGACCAAACUGAUCAGUUCCAUAAUUAAAUUUUGAUUUGACUAUUAUACUUAAUAAAUAACUAAAAGUUCUGGUUUGGCCUACUAAAAAUGAUCGGAAGUAUCGUAAUACUUAGUCACAUUUCCUUCCCUUCCCAUAUGGGAAAAUUACAUUGAAUGUUCCGGGGAUUUAAAAAUAAAAUAAAAUAAAAUCAUUUCUAAUUGAAAUCUGAAUUUAUAUUUCUUUAGCAAUCUCUGUUUCCAACAAAUCUCGUAUUAUUGUCAUACAUAAUUACAUGAUACAAUAUUCCUGUUUUCCUAUGAUGUGCUUUACCGUCUAUGUUUUACCUUGUGCAAUUUACAAUGACAUGCACUACUUACAAUAUAUUGGACAAUCAAGGAAAGGAUGAUUACAAAAUCAUUUUUAAAUUUGGCUCUUUGUUUUAGCUUAUGCCAUUCAAGUAGCUUCUUUUGCAAAGUUAUGGAUACAUCCAUUUAUAUCUUCGUACAACGGCCUCUUAUGUUUUGACAUGGAGUAAUAUGGUAGUUAAUGAUUUCUAGGGAGAAUUUUCUGAGGCUUCAGGUAGAUAUGUUAAUAAAAACGGAAUCCGACUUAUCACUUUCCUGUAUGAUGCAAGUCAAUCCCCCAACAAGCUCCCUAUACGAUGUCACGAUAUUCCUUCAAUAGGUCAACCAGUGAAAAAUAAUUUGAUGAUGCCAAGAUUUGAGUUCUUUCUAUCGCCAGGCAAGAUAACGAUUAUCUUGAGGGUUUGUUGUAAUAGACGAUUCACAGAAAAGUAAACAAAAGAAUAACACCCAAAACACAAAGAAACUUCUCUUAAAUUCACUCAAUAUUAUUAAAACUCCAGAAUGCAAAAAUAAACCCACAAGUCGGGUUAAAUAGCUUAGAAAAUACGAAAUUAUGGAAAUUUUAUCAAAAAUAUCAAAAUCCCAAAAAUCACACCAAAAUAAAAUACGAAAUAAAAGAAGUAACUUUGUGCGCACCAAAAAAAGCUUUCCAAAUUGAUGUCAUAAUUGCGAUUUUGAUAACCAUUGCGAAAGUUAUGGCCAAACUACCAAAAAAAAGUCAAAAUUACCCCAAUUAAGAAAAGUAUUGCAAUCACUUUCCAUCUUUGUGCAGAUCCACCAUCUCAUGGUAUUUCAGCACCAUCAACGUUCUAUCUAACAUCUCGGCCUCACUUGAUUCGGAACCUCCUGCAUCAGUUUCCAUCCAAAUGCUAUUUGUUGCUACUUUUUACGGCAUGCACCUAUACGCCGCAUAAUACUUAUUACGAUGUGCAAUGCAUGCCGUAAAAAGUAAACUUUGUUGUAGUGUUUCCAAUUUACAUGAUACAAUGUCCCCUGUUUCUUUGUUGUACUUCACAAUUUAUACUUUUUCUUUUUGGUAAAAUGUCCAUCGAAAUGCUUUGCUUAUACAGAUUUAUUAUGAAGGUCAAAGUGCUUGAAACCAUAAAAGAAAGCAUAGAUCUAAUGAAAAGCAUCUUCGUGUUGGAGGGUGUAACAUAUCAAUACGGUGUAGCCUAUACAUAUUCUGAAGAUUUAUAUAAACCCUCACAUGACAAGAUACUUAUUAGUUAACAGUAAGCACAUACAAAGAACAAAGGCACGACCUAUUCUGUAAUGUCUUGAAAAUGAUUAUCAUCAUAUAUCCAAUAUUUAUGUGUCCCCCGAGUAAUUAAGAAUCAAUGAUUUAAAUUGUUACAUGAAAAUAAUGGAGUUUAAAUCACAAACCAAACCAACAAAAACCAUUUGGUUGCUUCACAAUUGGCCUUUGUUGUGAGAAACAAAUUUGUUUUCUUUCCUAUGGUUCAAUUCCCAUGGUCCAGUUGGAGGAUAUUAACAAAAUGGAUAUCUAAAGUACGCUUUAUAUUUAGUCAAAUUCUUUCCUUUCCGAUAUGAGAAAAUUAUAUUCAAUGUUUCGGCGACAAAAAAAAGAUUUCCUUUUAUUUUCAUUGAUAUGCACUACAUACCCAGAUGUAUUAGAUGAUCAAGGAAAUGGUGACAAAAAAAUUACGGUCAUAUUUGGUUCUUCGUUUUAGUGUAUGCCAUUUUAUGUAACUUCUUUUGUAAAUUUGUAGAUACAUAUGUCUGUUUAUUUCUUUUGGUUGCUUCACCAUUGGCCUUUUUUUAAACAAACACUCUAGUUUUCUCUCUUAUUGUCGAUCCCUGUGGUCCAAUUUAAGAAUGCUGUUAUAUAAAGUACCCUUGAUAUUUAGUCACAUUUCUUCCUUUCCCAUAUGAGAAAACUACAUUCAUUGUUUUGGCGAUAAAAAUGGAUUUCUUUUGAUUUGAUGUAUGGAUUCUGUGAGUGUAUUAUGUCAUCGGAAAUGAGUUUUAAUUAAAUCUCUCAUAUCAUCAUUAUACAUGAUUUACAUGAUACAAUAUCUUCUAGUUUGUGUUGUGCUUCACAAUCUUUGCUUUACUUGCUAUCAUAUACAUCAAUGGGCAUUACUUACACAGAACUAUUUCACGUUCAAGGAAAGGAUGAUUUGUGAAUUUCUGGAUUAGAUCAUUCCAAUGGUGCAGCUUGGUGGAUGUGAGUCCAACAAUACUGUGGGAUUCCAAUAAUUGCAAAAAAAGUAAGAGAAGAGACCAAAAGAGUAGCACUUGCAUGAGUCGUGCAAACAUCGUGCAUGUGUUGUGCGUUCGUUGUUCCACAGGAAAAAGGUUAUUGAGAAAGUACAAGUAUUAAAAAUUCAAUGUUCCACAAAUUUCAAAUGAAACACAAUUUUAUUAUUGUUACUUGACUAUUUAAAAGGAUUUGAUUGGUUUCCUUCCAUGGAAACUAUAUUUACAAAAAUGUGUUUCGUUCAAAAAUUUCUGUUAAGGCAUAUUUUUGGGAGUUUUACAUGACUAUAUAAACACAAUUUGGUAGGUUUCUGUUAUUGAUGGCCAAAAUUAUAUUGAACAUGCAAUUAUUGCCCACCCAAUGCAUAAGAACCAUGAUCUUAUAAAUUGAUUUUUGUUUGGCCCAGUAUUCAAAAAUGUCAAGUAAAACACAUUUUGAUGAGUGUACAUUAUUAUUUAAAAGGAAAUUGGUCUGUUUUCAAUGAACACACAUUCAUUGUACGCACAGUGCAUGGGACUGACGUAACUUUUGAUGAGAUAAUCGUUCAAAAUAUUUAAUGAGAUGCAUUUUUGUGAGUGUUACAUGUCUAAUUAAUAAAUGAUUGGCCAGUUUUCAUUAAUGAUAGUGCAAUGACAUGAGCAUUUAUUUAUUUUCCACUCAACGAUAGGACCCAAAUUUUAUAAAUUCAUUUUUUUCAUAUGUUGGUCAAAAUUUUUGAAUCUAGACAUUUUUAGAAUUUUAUAAAUUUGAUUUUAUCUCCUUUUACUUUUCUAUGUCAUUAUUCAUCAUUGAGGUAUGAGAUUUUGACAUUGCAAUUGAUUUUGGAGGAAUGUUAGAAAUUAUAGGUUCUAAUGUUUAUGUUUGAUUUCCUGUCCUUUUUCCUUCAGACCUUUUCACCCAAAUCUGUGCUCCAAUUGCAAUAUGUAUUAUAAAUUUAAAGUGCAAAGGAUUAUGACUCGGUUAUGAUUGAUGGGCACUUUAUUUCCAUUGGACACUGAAAGAAAAAAUAUUUGAAUCAAAGCAUUUGGGCAAGGGUAUUGAUUUUAACCUCCUUAUCACUAUCCCCCAGACUAAUGAAGGUUUGUUUGUUUCUAUAAGAAUUUUUUUGAGACUUUUAAUUGUUAAAACAAAUUCUGUGCGUGUUAACUGUUACAGCUCCAUUGAGUGUCAUUACCGCCUCAAUUUUAUUGUAUUUUAAAUUAUAAUAGUAAAACUAUGAACCAUUUCGGCUAUGAUCAUUGAAUUUGCUUCGAUGUAGUUUUGAAUGCAAACGGUUUCUCUAGCACCUCUUGUAUGCUAUUAUUGAAAGCCAACUGAUUCGUGAUUAUAUAUUGUGAAUAAAGCUUGCCAUUUAACUUACGGUUCUUAAAUUUGUGUCCUCUAGUGUGGCUAGGCACAAGGUAAAUAGUGUAGGCUUUAUUGAUAUUUAUGGUUUUGUCAUUAGUUCUCCUAUAUGAAUUUUUAUUCUUAGACUGUAUUACGUAUUUAAAAAGAAUUGAAGAUUGUCAAGAAUUGAGUGCAUAAUCGGAUGGAAGAUCAAUGGUUUGGUGAAUGAUGUAUUUGAAAAUAUUCAUAAUAGUGCUAUUAUACAAAGUGUUUAAAGUAUGAAAACCCGCAAAUCACAAUUGUAGUAGUGCACUAACUAUUUUCACUAAUGUUAUGUAAAUUUUUAAAAAAUUUGCAUUUAAUUUUUUUAUCCCACACAGAAAUUGAAUGUCUACGCCACUGCGUGCAUGUGUUGUGCGUUCCAAUUUCAAGAUGAAAAAGUUAUUGAGAGAGUAUAUGCAUAAAAAAAAAAAUCAAUGUUUUGAAAAAAAAAAAAAAAUUCAAAUGACACACAAUUUUUGGAGAGUUGCAAGACUACUUGAAAAAUGUUUUGUCUUUUGUAUCUUCAAAUGCACAACUUUAAUGAACACACAUUUAUUGCUUACCAAAUGCAUGAGAUCCACGUUUGUUUAAAUUAACUUUUGUUUAGUUGGGUAUUCAAAAAUAUCAAACUAAACAUGUUUUGAUGAUCUACAUUAUUAUUUUAAAAAAAUUUGCCUGGCUUUAAUCAUUGACAAUGCAAUAAUAAUGAACAUUGGCAGAUUUAGGGUGGAGAAUGGUAGUUCACUUGCCGCACCAAUUUUUAUUUUUUUUUAUUUUUUUUGGUUUUUGUUUUGUUGCUAGGGGUUUAAUGAAAAAUGUAUUACAUUGUUAGUAGGGGAAAAUUGGGAUUGUGUAUUAAUAUUAUGGUUAUAUUAUUUGUAGGAUUUUGAAAUGGACAAAUUUCUAAUUAUUCGAAUAAUUCUAAUGUUUUAAAUUAGUAAAUAGUGGUUAAUAUAUUUCAUUUUAUUUUAUGUUAAAUUUAAUAUCAUUCAAAAAAAUUAAUAGUUUUUUUCCCAAUUAUUAUUGCACUAUAUUUUGGGUAAUCAAACUAUGUUAUUUUAAUCUUGAUUUAUACUGAAAGUUCAAAUUAUAUUUGAUUGAUUUGUACAUCUUCUAAUAAAGUGCUUAG
rnacentral:lncRNA from 1 species